UUGAAGUGGAGGAAAAGAAGGUUCCAAACUCAGAAAAGGAUUUGGUUUUGGAUGGAGGAUUUGUUUUGCCACAUGCCAAUUCUUUUGGCCAUAACUUUAGGUCUUUUUUUUCUCCUUCAAUAAUCAUUUAAUUAUGCACCUAAAACUUAAUAAAUAAUACUUAAAUUGAAACUAUUUGCUUCAAGAAUCUAAUUUAUGAUGAUUGAAUAUGGACUCAUCUAUGCCAUAAAUAUAACAUGGUUUCACUUUGAAUAAUUGAGGGAAAAUUACAGUUUUCGUCCCUCAAGUUUGCAGCAGUUUCAGAUUUGGUGUUCAUGUUCACAAAAAUUACAUCUGAUCCCUCAUGUUUUCAAUAAUUCAACACUUUUAACCUUUUUCCAUCAAUUAUUAAGGCAGUUAUAGUAACAGAAAAUUGAAGUAAAAAAUUAAAAGUGUUGAAUUUUUUAAACAUGAGGGUCAAACUUUUUUUUUGUUGAACGCGGAGGACUUAAUGGGAAAUUAGUGCAAACUCAAGGGACAAAAAUUGUAUUUUACAUAUUUGGACUUUGGACAAAAUUGACAAUUUAAUUAAUCCCUCAAGUCCAAAUAUUUUAUGGGCCUAAAUAUUUGUUUGGUCCAUAUCCCAAACAAGCCCUUCAAAAUUCUACAAUUUAUUUACUUUUUAUUUGCAAAUAAAUAUUCAGAAAUAUAUAUUAUUUCAAUAUGAAACAGAGAUUAUGAUGCUGAAAGUGAAAGGCAACAAGGGGUGGAGACUUUCUACAAAACCCAACACAUCCACCAAACCUAUGACUUUGUAAGUAAUAUUAUUCAAGAAAAUAUUUUUAUUUUUUUUUAUUUUUUUCAUUAAAUUAUUUUUUUUAUUUAAUAUUAAUUAACUAACAGGUGAAGAAAAUGAGAGGAGAAUAUGAUAAAUUGGACAAAGUGGAAAUGAGCAUAUGGGAAUGCUGUGAGCUACUAAACAAUGUUGUGGACGAAAGUGACCCUGAUUUGGAUGAACCUCAAAUUCAACAUUUGCUUCAGACAGCUGAAGCAAUUAGAAGAGAUUACCCUAAUGAAGAUUGGCUCCAUUUGACCGGUCUCAUCCACGGUACAUUGACUAAAAUACCCUUGUCAUUAAUUUUUUUUUUCGAUUUUCGAUCCAUUCCGUCUGAUUUCCGCCCCUAUAUUUAACAAAUGAUAUGGGCUAAUUGCAUGAUAUGUUGUUAAAAUUUGAAUUAAAUAACAUAAUUUAAUUUUAUAUAUUGGAAAAGAAUAAAUAUUAUAGAGGUGCAAAUUAAAGAAGCAUAAAAUUGAAGAGAAACGGAGAAUUCAACCAACCAGUAACCACCGUGCUCCACCACUUGUGUUGCCGGUUACUUCCAGUAUUUGAAAAAUUCCUCCUCCCACUUAUAAAUAUAUCUAUGAUAUAAACCUCAGAAAUCGAAAAAUAAAUUAACAUUUUUUUAAUGGCUUCUUUCACAAGUUUUUGUUUUGCCACUUUAUUCAUAACAUUGGCCAUCACAAGUUCUUCUCCGGCAGCCACCGCGGCGGCGGAGGAGUUCAAGGUUGGCGGCAGCCAGCGGCCAACGACACUGAAAUAUACACCCGGUGGGCCUCGACCAUGAGAUUUCCCGUCGGAGAUUCUCUCCGUAAGUACUUUUUUCUUUUUUUUAAUAUAUAUAUAUGUCAAUAUGUGUAAUUGCUCUUCAUUAAUAUUUAUGUAACUAUUUAUUAUUGUAAAACAAGGUUUCGUGUACAAGAAUGAUUCGGUGGUGGUGGUGGUGGACAAAUGGGGGUACUACCACUGCAACUCAACCCACCCCAUCUCCAACCCGGGCCGGCAUACUUUGUGAGUUCCGACCCGGUUCGGUGCAAAAACGGGCAAAGAUUAAUGGAGGAAGUGAUUUUGUAGAUGCACGACGACCCGAUUUCUCGAUCACCAGCACCAUCACCACAACUAGUUUUGUUUUAUGUAGUUGUUGCUUCAGCCUCCAUUAAUAAUAUGUAUAUAUAUGUAGCUUAAUUUAGUAAUAUAUGUUAGGGUUAGGAUUAGGGUGAAAUAGUAGAGUGUUGUUAUAAUUCAUUAUCUAACUCUAUUCUAAUAGUACAAGUGAUAUUGAUGAUACGUACAUAUGAAAAAAACAAGGAAUUUAUUAAUUAAUUAAAUUAAUGGUCAUGAUAUUAAUUGAAUCGAAUUAAAAAAAGAUGAAUGGCACAGAACUAAAAUAAAUAAUCUCGAGGGCGGAAGAGGGGAAGGUGAAAAUAAAUUAUCUCCAGGUGUGGAUUGUGGCGGGAAAUGGAUUUCCAGGGUUGACCCUCCUUGUCCCCGUAGACUUGUUCCAGUUGUGUUGAACCUCUAAUAUCCAACUUCUUCAAUGAUGAUGAAACCUUUCGCAGGAGGUGUUGCGGCAGCUCCGUCAAACUGCUGCAGUCAUGGAUAAUCAACUCCGUGAGGCAAGGCAUUAUUGAAUACUUUUCUUCUUCUUCUUCUUGGGCAGUGGUGAUGUCCUCCCACUUGUUCCACUUUGGACAGCUCCAAAAUCUCAGAUGCUUUAACUUGGGAAAGCCACCAUCAAUAAUAUUAUUAGUACCCGACGAACACGAAGAUGUUGUUGUUGUUGUUGCUAUUCCCAGGAAUUCCCGUCCAACAUAUUCCAAUUCAUAUAAACCACUAAUCCGAAGAGUCUCCAGUAGCGGUAGCUUACCCAGCAGCGGCAGCGACACAAGAAUUGCACAAUCGUUCAGCUCAAUAGAUGUGAGUUGGUUGAGGGGGGACACAAUCCAUCCUGGAAGUCGGGAGCCAUUAUAACCCUCAAUAGUCAGGUGUUGGAGGUUUGGAUGUGGGUGAAGAGCAUCUAGUACUUCAUUAGAAACCGAUGUUGAUGAUGAUGAUGAUGCAGUUGUUGUUGAUCUAUACAAAUAUAUUCUCAGUUCUUGAAUGUGCAUCUUUUUCCCCAACUCCGCCUUACGAGCAUUCUCUACUGAAUCACAACAACUGCUUAUUUCAAUCCACAGCUCCACUUUCCCGCUAAGUCGGUUUAAAUUCUUCAACCACCCCACCUGGCUCCCAUCACAAAGGAAGACUUUAUCCAAUGUGACUAGACUCGUUAAUUCGGCUAUUCCUUGUGGAUAUUGCUUCAGAGAAUCAGUACCUUUAUUAUACAAAUGUUUGAGCUUCUUCAUCAUGUGGAUCCCUUGUGGAAGUCCACACAGACGAGAACACCAAUUUACAUCCAAACUUUCUAAUUUACUCAAAUUGCAUAGGCUCUCCGGCAACUCUCUCAGUCCUCUAUUCCCGUACAAAUCCAAGUGUAUCAACUCACUCAAAUUCCCAAUCUCCAACGGAAUUUCUUGUAGCCCGCACAAGCCCACCCAAAGAAAUUGCAAGUUAUACAACUUACAAAUGGUCUUCAGAUCAUCACCAACAAAUUCAUUAUGACUCAAGUUCAACCACCUCAAGUGAAUCAAUUUUUCUAUUUCUUUCGGAAUGGCUUGCAAGCCACUGCAACUUAAAUCGAGCAACCUCACACUUGUCAGGCAAUCACAAACAUGUGGAUCAAGAACUUCUUUGCACCGAAAUAAGCUACGAUAUUUUUUGACUCGGGAAACUAACAAAGGGCUACAGUCUUUGCAAGUUGUGUUCUUCAUUCUUGAUCCCACAUUCUUCCUCAGGAAUUCAGCGAAAUCAUGUACAAUGUCAUGCAUCAUAAACGAUUUUAUCUUUAUAUCGUCAUCUUUCAUAUAAAAGUCUUGAAACAGAGAACGCAUUGCUAAAUUAUCAAAGUACCCUCUCCCUCUAACUUUCCAGUCAUCAUCAGCAUUCGAUCCUAGGUAACCCAUUGCCAUCCAUCUUGUUAUUAGCUCAUCCACAUCAAUUCUGGAAUCUUUAGGAAAGACGGCACAAUACGAGAAGCAACGCUUCAAUGUUGGGGACAACUCGUUGUAACUGAGAAACAAAUGGCGGAAGAGGUCAUCUUCUACUACCUCCAACUUCCAGAUUUCACUAUUCAACACGCUCUCCCACUCUUCCAAUGUAUUCUUGAAACAUAAGAGACUUCCCAAAGUCUUUGCUGCAAGCGGCAAUCCAUUGCACUUCUUGGUUAUCUGCUUACCCGUGUUCUCAAAUUCUUCACAUUGAUCCUUGUUCUUACCACAAAGGGCAAUCCGACCUAACAACGACCAACAAUCUUCAUCAUUGAGAACUCCUAAACGAUGGAUCAUCUGAUCAUUCUUUAUAAACUCUCCCAUCAUCAUUAUUGCAACUCUUUCGUUUCUAGUUGUCACCAAAACUUUGCUUCCAUGUCCACCACUUUUGAUAGCGUUUUUCAGGGGUUUCCACUUGGUAUCGUCUUCUGUCCAAACAUCAUCCAGAACAAGAAGAAACUUUUUCCCUGAAAUAGACUCUAUUAGACGUUGUAGCAGCCCAUCCAAGUCCAUUGUAUUUGGUAAAGGCCCUCCUGCUUUCUCCACAAUCCUUUUGGCAAUCUCAACCUCAUCAAAAGGAUCCGAAACAGAUAUCCAAAUUCUUAACUCAAAACAAUUCAUUACUCGAUUAUCGUUAUAAGCUAGUUGAGCAAGAGUUGUCUUCCCAAGGCCACCCACACCCACUAUAGAUACAACGCGGAUGCCUCCUAUUAACCCUUCUUCGCUACUACCACCUUCACCCACAAGUUUGCUUACCAGAGCUUCUCUCUCUAAGUCUCGGCCAUAAACUUCCUCUUUGUCGACGAUAGAAGUAGUUUGACCUCGCCAAGAUUCACGAUCAGAUGGUUGUGACGUGAUCUCAUUAAAAUGAAACCGAUCUUUCUCCGCCAAAAUCAGAUCAAGCCGUUCUUUCACUUGUUUUAUCUUCAAGGCAAUUCCACGACGUACAGAAACUUUCUUGAAACAUAAAAACGAGCAAGGGAUGCAAAAGCGUACCGUGCACUUAGGAGGAACAACAUCAGCAUCAGCAUCAGCAGCAGCAACACCAUUUGACGAUUGUUCGAUCUGAAACUUGAGAAUGGAGUAGUUCCAUUCGUCCAACACGUCAUCCAUUUCGUAUGUCGUGUUUUCGAGCCUCGUCAGCCAAUCUUUGAUGCUCUUUUCCUUAUAACCCUUCUUCUCCGCAUCUUCCAACACGUUUCUGACUGUGUUCAGAUCGAUGGAAAGUUUGAGAACCUCCUUCUUAACUCCUCUCACCAAAUUUACUUCGUCUCGGAUCUUCUCUUCCACGAGAGCUGCAAUGCGCUCCAACACAACGGAAACGAUAGCAUCCGCCAUUAUCGCUCGCUAGCUCACACUACUUGUGUCUCUGAUUGCACUAUGUGAUUGGUAACAAGAUUGAGUGGAGAUGUAGCUAAUAGUUUGUCAAUUAUAUUCCAUUUUCUGCUUUUGCUUUAGCAUAAAGUGAAAGUUCCACUCUUACUCAAAAAAAAAAAAGAAAAAAAAAAGUGAAAGUUCCACAGCUGUAGGUGAGACAAUUGGUAUCACAUUUAUUUUACAGGUAAUCAAACUUUUAACGUCCAUUAGUCUUGAUAUUUCUUUUGUUUUAUUUUAUAUUCUAUAUAUUUCAUUAACUACAAAUAUUUAUAUUGUUCCAAAAUUAAUUUAUAACUUACAUAACCCAAAAUUGUGAAAAACUAAAGUAUUAAUAACCGAGUGCCGUAAAUAGAUUUAAAAAAACAAAACAUUAAACACAGAGAAAAGAUAGAAUAAACAAUACUUGGAUAUUAUUUUUUUCAAUUGAAAUAAAGUAUAUUAAACAAUACUUGGAUACUUACCACCCUGUGCAAUCUCGAAUUGCCAAAAACAAAACCCUAUAUUAAAAAUAUUAACAAAGACCCAUAUACAAAAAUUAUUCGCUACACUCCAUAUAUGGGAGUGGGUGUGCAUUUUUUUGAUCUAACAAGACCUAAAUACCCUCUAAUUAGAAAUAUUUUUAAAAUUACAGAUUCACCCCAAAGUUUCAGACCAAAGUAAAAUUUUCAAAAUUUUCAAUUCAGUCCUUUAUAUUUCCAAAAAAACCAUCUUCCCAGCCCCACGUCUUCAUUUCAUUGUGACUUUUUCCAGCAAAAAAAAAAAAAAACAGAAAUUAUUAAACACAUUCUUCCCUUUCACUUUUUCUGAUUCUCCACAAUCCGGUUUCCCAAUCUCUCUUAUUCAAUGUUUCAGAUUCGUGCACCCAAUUGAUGGAGAUUUCCGAGUAUUGGCAUCUUAGUAUAUUAAAUGUACAUUAUAAGGGGAAAGUAAAAUUUGCACCCCUGAACUAUAGGGUUUGUCGCAAACACCCCUAAACUACAAAACGUAACAAAAUGAACCCCUGACUUUAACAGUCAAACUUUAGAUUUUUUACACCUUUAAUAAUAAUGAGUAUUUACAUAUUAACCCUCAUUAUGUUAUGCUGCAAUCUGACGUGGCAUCAUCACCAUGGAUAAUAUUUCCCUCUCAAUAGAAACUAGACUCCUUUUUUUCUCUUUUUCUUCUUUGAGAAAACCAAAUCCCUCUUUUAAAAAACUAGCCCGCGCGCCUAAAAAGUGGAAUUCACGGUGCAAUUCAAAAAUCAGAAAAUAUCAACGACCGCUCAAGUCUUUGUUAAACCAACAGUCUUCCGACUUCGAAACUCUUGAUUUUUCAAACCCAUUUGCAAUAUUUUUUCUUGGAUCAUACUCGGCGUGUCUUCUUUCUCGAUAUCUGUGAGAGGUAUGGCUCUUCCGCUGUGUUUUUUCUGCGUUUAAGAAUUUCCUGUGGCGUUUAUGCAUUCGUGAUGAUGAUGAUUUCUCUAUUUUCUGUUUAUGGGUUUCAGUAAUAUAACGAUGCUUUGUUUGUGGGUUUCAUAAAUAUAUCGACAUUUGAUUCUUUAGUUAUCAAUGCAAUUUUUUUGUUUUUAUGUUUUUGAAUUUGUUUGUUGAGUCAUGUACGAUUUGGUCCGGUAAAUAACCGAAUCACAUGAAUUUUAUGUAAAAAUAUUUAAAAGGAGGGGUGGCUGUAAUUACCCAAACAAUAAGUGGUUUUUCGUAAUUUGACCAUACCUAACGGAUCAAUACCCUUUAAAUCAAAAACUUUAAAAAUUAUAGAUUCACCCCAAAAAUUUUGUUUGUCCCAAAAUGAAGUUUCCGAAAUUUUCAAUUCAGUCCCUGAUAGUUUAUGUUUUAAACAAAUAAAAUAUAUACUAAAUGUAUGGCUUCUUUCACGAGUCUCUACUUUGCCACGCUUUAUUCAUAAUACUGGCCAUCACAACUUCUUCUCCGGCAGCCACCACGGCAGAGGAAUUCAAGGUUGGCGGCAGCCUGCCACCAACGACACUGAAAUGUACACCCGGUGGGCCUCAACCAUGAGAUUCCACGUCGGAGAUUCUCUUUGCAAGUAUUGUUCAAUUCAUUUAACUUAUUUUUAGUCUAAUUAAUUGAUCUUCAUUAAUUAAUAUUUUAAUGUAAUAAUUAUUCCCUUUUUGAGAAGUCAGGGAAAAGGGUUUUAGAGGUUUGAAUCCGAUCGUCGAUGCGGCGGCGGAAGCUUGGGAAAGAUGAUAGGUUGUUGAGCGGUGGGUGGGUGGGUUGUUCCUGUGAAGACGAUGAUGACUUUCUUUAUAUUAGUAUCUGUAACUUUUUUAAAUUUCAAUUUGGUCCCUUAGUUUUAAAAAUUACAUAUUUAUGGACUGGGCUUUUCUUUUUUGCAAGAACCUCACCAGGGUAUUUUUGUCUUUUUGCAGCCAGUCAAUGGGAAAAAAAAUAAAUGGGUUGAGUGUGCCAUCUUAACUCUAUAGUAACAGUAGAAAUAGAAGCAUGAAAUAAAAGGUAAUAAUUGAAGUUACAGGCAGAGGCAGAAGAAUUGAUAUUAAAGUAGUAGAAAAUGAAAAUGAAAAUGAAAAUGAAAGUUGAAUAGAAUAAAAGUAAUAACAUCAAUUAAUAAUUGAAGCGAAGGCGUGGAUUGAUGUGGCGGGAAAUGGAUUUCAAACCAUCGCCGUGAACGUAAAAUUGUUUCAGCUGUGUUGAACCACUAAUAUUCAACUCCUCCAAUGACCACAACACCUUUCGCAGGAGGCGUUGCGGCAGCUCCGUCAAUCCAUCGCAGCUACCGAUCUGCAACUUCGUCAGGCAAGGCAUUAUUGAAUAUUCUUCUUCUUCUUCUUGGGCCGUUGUAAUGUCCUCCCACUUGUUCCAAUUUUGACAGCUCCAAAAUCUCAGUGUUUUUAACUUGGGAAAGCCACCAUCAAUAAUAUUUGUACCCACCACCGACGAAGACGAACACGAAGAUGUUGUUGUUGCUGUUGUUGCUAUUCCCAGGAAUUCCUGUCCAACAUAUUCCAAUUCAUAUAAAUUUUGAAUCGAAAGAGUCUCCAGUAGCGGUAGUUUACCCAGCGGCGGCAGCGACGGAAGGCCUUUACAAUGGUAGAGCUCAACAUUUACGAGUUGGUUGAGGGGAGACGUGAUCCAUCGUGGAAGUUGAGAGCCGUCAUAGUGAUAAAUAAUCAGCUCUCGGAGGUGUGGAUAUGGUUUCAGAGCAUCUACCAGUUUGGAACCAAAAAUACACAACACCUUCAAUGAUGAUGAAACCUUUCGCAUGAGGCGUUGCGGCAGCUCCGUCAAUCCCUCGCAGAAACGCAUCGUCAACUCCGUGAGGCAAGGCAUUAUUGAGAUAUCAACAUUAUCUUCUUCUUCCAUCGUAAUGUCUUCCCACUUCGUCCAGUUGAUACAUUUCCAAAAUGUCAGUAUCUUCAACUUGGGGAAGCCACCAGCAAUAGUACCCAUCGAUGAACAUGUUGUUGUUGCUAUUCCCAGGAAUUCCCGUCCAACAUAUUCCAAUUUAGAUAAACUUACAAUCUCAAGAGUCUCCAGUAGCGGUAGUUUACCCAGCGGCGGCAGCGACAAAAGGCAUUCACAAUAGUAGAGCUCAAUUGAUGUGAGUUGGUUGAGGGGCGACACAAUCCAUCCCGAAAGUCGAGAGCCGUUAUAGCGCCUGAUAGUCAGGUGUUGGAGGUUUGGAUGUGGGUGAAGAGCAUCUAGUACUUCAUUCCAAACCGAUGCUGACGACGAUGAUGAAGAACUAGUAUCUUUCACUUGUUUGCCACGGCCAUCAAUUGUUGUUGUUGAUUCAGAGAAAUAUAUUCCCAGUUCUUGAAUGUGCACCUUUUUCCCCAACUCCGCCUCACGAGCAUCCUCUACUGAAUCACAACAACUGCUUAUUUCAAUCCACAGCUCCACUUUCCCGCUAAGUCGGUUAAAAUUCUUCAACCACCCCACCUUAUUCCCAUCACAAGGAAAGACUUUAUUCAAUGUGACUAGACUCGUUAAUUGGGAUAUUCCUUGUGGAUAUUGUACUAGAGAACGAGUACAUUCACUAUACAAAUGUUUGAGCUUCUUCAGCCUCUCGAUCCCUUGUGGAAGUCCACACAGACUGGAACACCAACUAACAUUCAGGAUUUGUAAUUUACUCAAAUUGCAUAGGCUCUCCGGCAAUUCUCUCAGUCCUGUAUUCCAGCUCAAAUCCAAGUGUAUCAACUGACUCAAAUUCCCAAUCUCCAACGGAAUUUCUUGUAGCUCGCACCAACCAACCCAAAGAAAUUGCAAGUUAUAUAACAAACAAAUGGACUUGAGAUUAUCACCAACAAAUUGAUUAUGACUCAAGUUCAACCACCUCAAGUGAAUCAAUUUUUCUAUUUCUUUCGGAAUGGCUUUCAAUCUUAAAUCGAGCAACCUCACACUUGUCAGACAAUCACAAACAUGUGAAUCAAGAACUUCUUUGCACCGAAAUAAGCUACGAUAUUUUUCGACUUGGGAAACUAACAAAGGGCUACAGUCUUUGCAAGUUGUGUUCUUCAUUCUUGAUCCCACAUUCUUCUUCAGGAAUUCAGCGAAAUCAUGUACAAUGUCAUGCAUCAUAAACGAUUUUAUCUUAUCGCCAUCUUUCUUAAAGUCUUGAAACAGAGAACGCAUUGCUAAAUUAUCAAAGUAGCCUCUUCCUCUAACUUUCCAGUCAUCAUCAGCAUUCGAUCCUAGGUAACCCAUUGCCAUCCAUUUUGUUAUUAGCUCAUCCACAUCAAUUCUGGUACCUUUAGGAAAGACGGCACAAUACGAGAAGCAACGCUUCAAUGUUGGGGACAACUCGUUGUAACUCAGAAGCAAAUGGCGGAAGAGGUCGUCUUCUACUUCCUCCAACUUCCAUAUUUCACUAUUCAACACACUCUCCCACUCUUCCAAUGUAGUCUUGAAACGUAAGAGACUUCCCAAAGUCUUUGCUGCAAGCGGCAAUCCAUUGCACUUCUUGAUUAUCUGCUUACCUGUGUUCUCAAAUUCUUCACAUUGAUCUUUGUUCUUACCACAAAGGGCAAUCCGACCUAACAAUGACCAACAAUGUUCAUCAUUGAGAACUCCUAAACGAUGGAUCAUCCAAUCAUUCUUGAUAAACUCUCCCAUCAUCAUUAUUGCAACCCUUUCGUUUCUAGUUGUCACCAAAAUUUUGCUACCCGUUCCACCACUUUUGAGAGCGUUUUUCAGGGAUUUCCACUUGGUAUCGUCUUCUGUCCAAACAUCAUCCAUAACAAGAAGAAACUUUUUUCCUGAAAUAGACUCUUUUAGACGUUGCAGUAGCAUUUCCAAUUGGUUGGUCCUUGGGGGUUCAUCCAACUUUUCCACACUUGCCACAAUCCCUUUCGCAAUCUCAACCUCGUUAAAGGGAUCUGAAACAGAUAUCCAAAUUUUUAACUCAAAAUAAUUCUCAACUCGACUAUCGUUAUAAGCUAGUUGAGCAAGAGUUGUCUUCCCAAGGCCACCCACACCAACUAUAGAUACAACGCGGAUGCAUCCUAUUAACCCUUCUUCACUACUACCACCUGCACCGACAAGUUUUCUCACCAGAGCUUCUCUCUCUAUGUCGCGGCCAUAAACUUCCUCUUUGUCGAUGGCAGAAGUAGUUUGACCUCGCCAAGAUUCACGAUCAGAUGGAUGUGACGUGAUCUCAUUAAAAUGAAACCGAUCUUUCUCCGCCAAAAUCAGAUCAAGCCGUUCUUUCACUUGUUUUAUUUUCAAGGCAAUUUCACGACGUACAGAAACUUUCUUGAAACAUAAACACAAGCAAGGGAUGCAAAAGCGUACCGUGCACUUAUUAGGAGGAACAACAUCAGCAUCAUCAGCAGCAGCAGCAGACGAUUGUUCGACCUGAAAUUUGAGAAUGGAGUAGUUCCAUUCGUCCAACACGUCAUCCAUUUCGAAGGUCGUGUUUUCGAGCCUCGUCAGCCAAUCUUUGAUGCUUUUUUCCUUAUACCCCUUCUUUUCCGCAUCUUCCAACACGUUUCUGACUGUGUUCAGAUCAACGGAAAGUUUGAGAAUCUCCUUCUUAACUCCUCUCACCAAAUUUACUUCGUCUCGGAUCUUCUCUUCCACGAGAGCUGCAAUGCGCUGCAACACAACGGAAACGAUAGCAUCCGCCAUUAUCGCUCGCCAACAGUUUUUUUUCUUUUCUUUCUAAAUUCUGUGUAUAUUAUUUGGUCUGUGCCUUAAUUCUUCCUUUCUCUGAUGCUAUCAAUCAAUAAUUGACCAGGUGGAGAUAUAUGCAGAAAGAUUAAAAAAAGACUUGAACAACGGACACAGAGUUUGUGAUUGACAUUUCCCAAGUCAACUGUACAGCUGUGAGUGGGUUGUGGCUGAGUCAUGAUGAGUGCGACAAUUAUUUGGUCAAACUCUCAAAAUUUUGUUUGCAUUUUAUUGCUCACAUAUAUUUUCAGUUUUCAAAAUAAGUAAAUCAAUAUUAAUGAAAAAGUAUAUCCUUUUGAGCAAUUAGUUUUUUGCUUAUGAAUGAAUUAAUUCAAGAGUUACAAAAUAUUAUUUGCAAGAAAAUAUAUAUUUUAAUUUCUUAGGCAAUAUAAGAAAAUAGGGUUAAUAGCAUUUUCCCACCUAGACUUUGCCCGUUUUUGCACUUUCCCACCUCAACUAAAAAAAGUUGCACGGCGGCACCCAAACAUUCAUUUUUGAGGCACAUAACCACCUGGAGGGAAUAUUCCGGCGAAUAUUCUCAUUUUUCAACGCACGCGCGAUGCACAUGCGAAAGUACAAGGGUUUUUUCGUCUUUUUACUUGAAAAUAUUAUAAGGGGUGAAAUUGAAAGUACCAGGGACUCAAUUGAACUUAAUUUGAAACUUUCUUUAUAGCAAUAACAAAGUUUCUUCUUUCCACUAGCAAAUGUGCAUUCUGCAUCAAUGCAGCAAAUGAGACGUAAAGUAAUAGCAAUUAACAUUUUCCUAAACAUGAAAUUCUAAUAAUCAAAAGAGUAAAAAGCAGUUUACCCCCUAAACUAUGGGCCGAUUUGCACUUUACCCCCCAAACAAAAAAAAAUUGCACGUUUUUACCUAAACUCGUCAAUUCGUUGCACGGUGCCCCCUGAACUCAAUUUUCCGGCAAUUUUGUCCGAAAAGUUGAAACAUGUGACUUGCACGUGACAUUUGCAGGGGUAUAUUCGUCCAUUCACUUACAUGCUGUAUAUUAAAUAUAAAUUAAACAAAAAAAAAAAAAUAUAUUGAGUCUUCUUCUUCCCUUCGCCCACCGUGCCAUCACCAUCCCAAAAAAUCCAUCAGCCACCGUCCUCCACUCUAUCGCAACCACCGACCACCAAUCCCACCGCAGCAAAUCAUCACUUCCACCUCUAAACUAUUUCCAACUCACCGCCAUUACUUGCCUCGUUUCCUCCAUUUACCGAUCGAGUCUUCGACCAUACAAGUAUAAAACAAAUAUUCCCCAAUUUCUUUUUAAGAAAUCACCAUCACCGGCAAAUCAUCUCCACCUCCACCUUCCCCACCUUGAUUCCACCUCUAAACUAAUUUCAACCCGCCGCCGUCACCUACCUCGUUUCACGGUUCACAACACCGCGCCACAGGCAACUAUUCCUCACUCUGUAUUUUUUUCCCGACGCGCACUCUUCCAACUUUUAUUUUCCUCCAAUUUUAUUUCAUCAUUAAACGAACACGCGAAUUUCACUGAAAUUAAUUUAUUGAAAAUUUGUGCAAUUGCAGAAUUAUCCCAUAUCGAAGCAUUGAUCGUGUUUCCUCUUCUGCAGUUGUAGAUCCGAAUUUUGGAUGCAUCGGAGCGUAUUCAUUACCUUCCCAAUUUUUCUUUUUAAAAAAAUCACCAUCUCCGCCUCUGCUCCUCCGACGUCAAAUAUCCUAACCUCAUCCCCAUCUUCUUUGGAUCUAUGGGCAAAAUAGGAUUUGAAGACAUUUUAUUUGAACCGGAUCUGAGCCGCCGAGGAGAUGUAGUGCACCAAUUAUCGGAGAUGGAUGCUGCUGUUAUUUUUUCGGCGGGGAAUGUUAUCUGGCUCGCCGACGAAGCUAUAUCCGUGAGAGGAGGAGCGGUGGUGGUCAUCGGAGAAUUUUGGAUUUUUUUUAAAUUAGUGUUUCAGAUUUUUUUUUUUGCAGGCAUGAAUUGGAUUUUUGGGAAGAAGAUGGCUGAUGGUCUGAUGGGUUUUUGGGAAGAAGGUGGGUGAUGGUCUGAUGGGGUUUUGGGAAUGAACGUGGGUGAUGGUCUGAUGGAUGAAAGCUUUUUUUUUUCCUUUUUUUUUUUCUUUUUUUUUUUAUUUUCUUUUUUAUUUUCUUUUUUAUUUUAUUUUUUAAUAUUUAUUUGCAUUUAAUAUUAAAGAUGCAAGUGAAUGGGCGAAUUUACCCCUCAAAAUCUCACGUGCAAAGCACAUGUUUUAACAUUCCGGUCAAAAUUGCCGGAAAAUUGAGUUCAGGGGGCACCGUGCAACGAAUUAACGAGUUUAGGUAAAAACGUGCAAAAAAUUUUUGUUUGGGGGGUAAAGUGCAAAUCGGCCCAUAGUUUAGGGGGCAAACUGCUUUUUACUCUAAUCAAAACACUAAAAACUUCAGCUUUGCUUCCGAAUUCAAUCCCAAAGUCACGUAAAAGAAAAAGGGUAAAAAGCGUUUUACCCCCUGGACUUUGGGGUGUUUUGCACGGCGCCCCCCCAGCUUACAAAAUUUGCACGUUUUUACCUGAACUUAGGUAGUUGUUGAACGACGCCCCCCCAGCUUACAAAAUUUGCACGUUUUUACCUGAACUUAGGUAGUUGUUGAACGAUGCCCCCUUAAGUGUCUAUUUUUGAAAAAAAAUAACCGGAAUCUCACACGUGCUUUGCACGUGUGAAUCCAAGGUUUAAUUUGCCUUUUCCUGUACACUUUUACCACUGUUCUACCUUUCCCUUUGUUACCGUUAGGAGAUUCCUAAUAUUCCUCCCUUUAUAAACCAUUAGAAGCCCUUCUGUCCCUUCUCUAUUAUUGCCAUUCAUCUUCUUGAUUUGGUUUCAAUUUCAUAUGGACGCGACGUGCUAUUGUUCGAGAAGACCAGUCAUGAAAACUUCAUGAACUGAUCUGAAUCCAUGAAGAAGAUACACCAACUGCGACAAAUACCGGGUAAAAAAUUCAAUCUUGUUUCUUUUGUUUUAUUUAAUGAAACUGAAACCAAAUCAACAUGAAAUUGGAAGAAGAAGCAACGGCAAAUCAAGAAGAGGAAUGGCAAUAAUAGAGAAGGGACAGAAAAUUAGGGCUUCUAAUGGUUUAUAAAGGGAGGAAUAUUAGGAAUCUCCUAACGGUAACAAAGGGAAAGGUAGAACAGUGGUAAAAGUGUACAGGAAAAAGCAAAUUAAACCUUGGAUUCACACGUGCAAAGCACGUGUGAGAUUCAGGCUAUUUUUUUUCAAAAAUAGACACUUAAGGGGGCGUCGUUCAACAACUAUCGAAGUUCAGGUAAAAACGUGCAAAUUUUGUAAGUUAGGGGGGCGUCGUUCAACAACUACCUAAGUUUAGGUAAAAACGUGCAAAUUUUGUAAGCUGGGGGGGCGCUGUGCAAAACACCCCAAAGUCCAGGGGGUAAAAUGCUUUUUACCCAAAGAAAAAUCCCCAAAUUCAUUUGGCAUCCAAAACACAAAAUUCAAAACACAACCCAACAACAAGCAAAACUUCAAAACAAUUUCGAAUCCAGAAAAUCGAAAAAUCCCAUAGAACACACACGAAAACCCCCAAAUCGCACCAAUCAGAAACCCUAAAAAUAAUAUCCAUCAUCACAAAACCAACAGCUACUGCACCGCGGCCCGUUUCAGAAACGAAAUUUACGAGAAAAAGGAAAUCAAUUGCACAUAAAAACGCAAAAUAAAAUCAGAGGCGAAGGAGAAAAGAAUUGAUUCUCAGCAAAACAAUCAGCGAAAACCAAACCAAACACGUUCGCAUUAACAGAGAUGAUAUAAGAGAGUGGGGAUAUCAGUAUUCAGUACUGAGUGUGUGUUCGUGUAUCUAUAUGUGUAUCUAUACAUACCUGUUUCGCGUAUUUAAUUAUUUUUGCGUCGCGAGGGGUUUUGGGUACAGCCGGAGGAGUUGGACAUUUGGACGAGGUGUUGGUGGAGGAAUUGGUGGAGGAAUUGGUGGUGGAGUUGGAGGUGACAGUGGAGGAAUUGAAGGUGGAGUCGGUGGAGGCUUAGGCGUUAGUAUAGGUGGCAGAUUUGGUUGUGGUGGAGGUGGUGGUGGUGCGGCGGCGGAGCAAAUGUGGUGGUGGUGAUGCGGUGCCGGAGAGAGGAAGAAGACGGAGCAGAAUUUUUCAUAUUGAAUUUUUAGUAAUUUGAUAUGAUAAUUUCAGGUGGUGGUACGGCGGUGGAGAGAGAUGUUGGUGGCGGUGAUGUGAAAUAUCCUGAUUCCCCUAUUUUGCAGCAAGAGGGAGACGAAGAAGAUGAUGGGUGGAAGUUGUGAAAGUUUCAAAUUAAGUUCAAUUGAGUCCCUGGUACUUUCAAUUUCACCCCUUAUAAUAUUUUCAAGUAAAAAGACGAAAAAACCCUUGUACUUUCGCAUGUGCAUCGCGCGUGCGUUGAAAAAUGAGAAUAUUCGCCGGAAUAUUCCCUCCAGGUGGUUAUGUGCCUCAAAAAUGAAUGUUUGGGUGCCGCCGUGCAACUUUUUUUAGUUGAGGUGGGAAAGUGCAAAAACGGGCAAAGUCUAGGUGGGAAAAUGCUAUUAACCCAAGAAAAUAUAUCACCGUUUAAGUCUCCAUUAAUAUAUGGGGGCAACUAUUUCAAAUACUAAAUUUUGCUUACUUGAAUACUACCAAGUUUAAAACCAAAAUUGAGUACAUAUUUAUCAGUUUUUUCUUACUUUAAUACCAAAAUAAAAGGAAAAUUACAAAAACACCCUUUCAUACAAAAUAUCAAUUAUAUCAAAUUUUAUUAGAAAUUACCUAUUCAAAAACCAAAUAAAAAAAAAAAGAAAAAAAACCAUUUGUUGUAAAAAAAAACCUCCACCAUUUCUUCUCCUCUCCAACCCUCACCGCCGACGCUGCCGACGCCGCCGCCGCCGAACGCCACCGUACGUGCUCGUAACUGCCGCGACAACCCAAUUAAACCCUAUCUUUUUCAUCUUCUUAAAUCCUCCAAAACAUCUCCAAAUUCAAAAAAUCAAAACCUCACAAAACUUAUAAAAUGGAGUUAUAAGACAAUAAUAUGGUAGUAUAUGUGGAAAGAGAAGCCAUUAAGGUAAGUAUCGAUGUCUUUUUUGAGCUUCGAAAUCGAUUUUGAAGUUUUUUUUUUUGAACCCGUCGGCAAUUUUCGACACAUACAGUNNNNNNNNNNNNNNNNNNNNNNNNNNNNNNNNNNNNNNNNNNNNNNNNNNNNNNNNNNNNNNNNNNNNNNNNNNNNNNNNNNNNNNNNNNNNNNNNNNNNCUUUUAGGAGAGCGGUGAUUUUAAUUUCUUUAGGUUUGAAAAUUUUUAAGAAGGGUUUGUUGUGAGAUUUUUUAGAAAGGGUUUGUUGUGAGGGAAGAUUUUUUUAGAAGGGUUUUUUUGGGAAGGGAGAAAGAAAGAGGAUGGAGGAAGGUGAGGGGGUUUGUGAGUAAGGAGGGAAAUGGUUUUUUUGAGUUUUUGAUUAUUUGGUAUUUAAGAAAGAAAAAUAGUAUUUGUGAUAUUUUUUUUGGUUUUAAUUUCAUUAAGGGUAUUAAAGUAAUUUACAAUUAAUUAUUUAUUUUUUAUUUUUUUGGUAUUCAAGUAAGCAAAAGUUGAGAUUUGAAAUAGUGAUCCCCUUAAUAUAUAGGUAGAUGCUUGUCUUUAUAGGUUCAGUUUCAAAUUGUAAUAUAAAUAAAAAAAAGGGUAAAUAGCAUUAAACCACCUAAACUUUUUACGUUUUUGCGGAUCACCACCUGAACAAUUUUUUUUUGCAAGAGUUCACCUGUACUCAAUUAAUUGUGCCACUUUGCCGUUUUUUGCCCGUUUUCAGGUCAUAAUGACCGGUUCUGGACACACGCGCGUUGCACAUGCGAAAUCCAAGGGUAUUGUUGGCUUUUUCAUUUUUAAAAUUGAAUAAAUGUUAAUUUUCAUUUAUUUAUUUUAUUUUAUGUUUCUUUUUUGAAAUGAAAUUUUCUUAAAUAGAAUAAGUAAAAAAAGAAAAAGAAAAACGUCAUCUUGUUCCCAGCAACUCAGCCCUGUAUUUUGAACUCAUGGCCCAAAAAAUCCGAACAAACCACCGACAUAAUUACUUUCUCGCCUCUGCAAUUCCAAGGAUGACCACUGCCGUCGCACCAAUCUCACCACCCACUGCCCACCGGCGCACACCCGAUCUCACGGCCGAGCGCCGCUCACCGCCGCCGUGGCAUGGGGCGGCCUCAAUUGUGAGAAGAUCCUAUAAUCCUCCAUUCGUUGGAAGAAGAUCUAGUCGUUCGGAGGAAGAAAUCGAAAGAAAAUAGUGUUCAUAUAACUUGAAUUGGGGAAAGGGGGAAAUUAAAUGAACAUUUUGGACCUAAUUUUAGGUCCAAUUUCAGUCAUGAUGGCGGCGGAUCUGAAGAAGAUGUGGUGGUGGUGGUGAGCUUGGUGGUUGUGCAAGAGGCUGGUUACUCGGGGUGAGUGGCUGCAACAUGAGAGAAAUGGUUGAUGAAAAUUGUGAGUUAGAUGAGUAGGGUGGGGGGGUUGGAUAUGGUCUGCCGCCGCCAACGCCGUUGGCCUUGAUGAGUUCAUCUAUGUGAAAUUACGGCUGAUUGCCGGCGGGUAAACGGCGACGUUUUUCUUUUUGUUGGUCUGAUGAUGGUGAUGAUUAGGGAAAAAUAAAGUAGCAGCAGUACAGUAUAUGUGGUGUUGUGGUGGAUCUUCUUCUGGGAUUGGGAACAAGACGAAGACCCUUUUGUUUUUUUUUUUUUUUAAUAAUUAUUCUAUUUUACAUUUAUUCAAUUUUAAAAAUGAAAAAGCCAACAAUACCCUUUGAUUUCGCAUGUGCAACGCGCGUGUGUCCAGAACCGGUUAUUAUGACCUGAAAACGGGCAAAAAACGGCAAAGUGGCACAAUUAAUUGAGUACAGGUGAACUCUUGCAAAAAAAAUUGUUCAGGUGGUGAUCCGCAAAAACGUAAAAAGUUUAGGUGGUUUAAUGCUAUUUACCCUAAAAAAAAUGUUCCACCAAGUAGAAAUAGAAGCAAGAAAUCAGCAGCCAACUUACUGUUAAAACUUCAAUUUGCAUCAAACAUAAUAGGAUAUUAUAAUACAUCAGACGAAGAGUUGGUCUUAAAAUCACUAGUAAUCGUCCAAUUAUAUUCAUCGUUACCCGUCGAAAAAACCACCGAUUCUCCUCUACGGAACGAAUAAUUUUCUUCUACCAAUUUUGCCCCGACAUUCGAUCCCAUUCGAGCCAUUCUCACACUCUCCAAUUCCACACCAACUUCUUUCAUAUACGGACGUUUCUUACCGUUCAAAUCCAAACAUCUUUCCGCAAGUUUUGCUACAGCAAGAACACCUCCACUUUCACCUCUCAACACUUGAUCAUCAAGAAUCGAAUCAAGGGCAUUUUCGUCCAUUAAAGAAAAAAAAAACGCCUCCGAAUAUCAGUCGUGGAAGUUGUCAUUGUAGGCCUCAACAAGAACAACCCCAAAACUAUAAACAUAUACAUCACUCUUUUUCGUAAUAAACUAGAUGGACUGAAAAAUACUCCGGAUCAAUAUAUCUGAACUGAAAGCGCCGUUCACAUUCGUAGUUACCUGUGUUAUUGUUGAAUAUAUUGCGAAAAUAUGUGAACAAGAUUAACAAGGAAAUAAUCGAGGAGUAUGUGUCUCUAACAUAUUUUACUCUUGCUAAUACAUGUUGAAUUAUAAGUACAAACUCAAGACCUAGUUAUACUAGUUUAAGCAUAUGCAGUACAUGCAUCGUAUUAAAUGUAUUCAUUAUAAAUCCUAGAUAUACAUGUAUCUUAUAAUUCAUGUAUAUAUCCUAUACAUUGUACAUGCAUUUGGAUAAUAUAGAAAGUGCAUUAUUUAUUUCAACAUUUAUAUCAGAAAGGCCAAAAAAAUAAAACCCGAGAAAAAUUAAGUGACCAAAACCCCUAUGUAAUCAGUUCAAGCAAGUACACUCGUGACUCGACACUUUUUAUUUUCAUCUGUUGACUGUUUGUAAAAAGACGAAAAAACUCUCCACAAAAAUAGAAAUCCAAUUGGAAAUACCCAAUGGAUCAAUACCCUCUAAAUUAGAAUCUUUGAAAAUUAUAGAUUCAACCCAGAACUUUUGUUUGUCCUAAAAUGAAGUUUUUGAAAUUUUCAAUUCAGUCCCUCAUAUUUUAUAUUUUAAACUAAUAAAAUAUAUAGGGUAAAUAGCAUUAAACCACCUAAACUUUUUAAGUUUUUGCGGAUCACCACCUGAACAAUUUUUUUUUGCACGAGUUCACCCGUACUUAAUAAAUUGUGCCACUUUGCCCAUUUUUGCCGGUUUUCAGGUCAAAAUGACCUGUUCUCAACUCAUGUGCGUUGCACAUGACAAAUCCAAGGGUAUUGACGUAUUUUCCAUUUUAAAAAUGGAAUAAAUGUUAAAUAGAAUAAAUAAACUAUUUUCUCUCGAUUCAGAUUUUUUGUUGGCCCUCUUUCAUGUUUUUCAAUUUCUUCGAGAAAAAUCCCACAACUAUUCGAACAUUACUUACCAAAUCACGAUUUUGUUCAAUACAUACAGGACUAUCGCAAUUUUGGGAUGAUUCAAGCUCGAUUUGAUGUGAAUUGCUCGCGAUUUCGACUGGGUAGCGUUGUUUUUUUGGCGAUUUAGGCACAAUUCUGGCCGAAUUUGGUGUGUUCAUGUUCGAUUUAGGUCGGGGUUUGUGUGAUGUAGACUGGGUUUCGCUAUUUAGAACUUGAAUGUUGAAGCUUGAAUCUAGAUUUGUUUUGAAAUGCUAAUUGUUAACCGAUUUGUUAUCACUGGGUGUUAUAUUUGUUAUAUUUCAAAUGUCUAUGUGUAUGGAAAUGUGGUUACUCACGCAAUUCAUAAUCUCUGUUGCUGAUUGUAAUUUGAUGUUGUCUGUUUCGGGCUACAAUGUCCGCCACCCAAGACAAAACAGUCUCGGCCCUGGUGGUGUCGGGAUGCAUAAUCACUUUUCCGGACAAAACCCAUCUCAGAAAUCCGAAAUGUCGAAGCAAUCACCAGGAAGCAGAUUCAAAAAUCGUAUUUACGGAAAUUGGGUUAUAGGAACACUAUUUUCUCUCGAUUUAUUCCUCCGAAUCAACUAGAUCAUCUUCCAACGAAUGGAGGAUUAGAUGAUCUUCUCACAAUUGAGGCCGCGGCGGAAGUGCGCGGCGCUUGGCGGUGAGAUCGGGUAUGAAAUCCUCUGCUUUUGCAACAAACACACUACCACUCCGAAAUGAUAAAACCACCACCAGUUGCACGAAAAUUCGCCCCCCCAUUUCACCAAGAUCAUCCCACUUCAAUUCAAAUGCAAAAUAAAAUUAAUUUUUUUUUAUUAAAAUCAACAGAUCUGAAGUGGGAUUCAAUCAAAGAAUCAAAUAUUCGAUGAAAAAAAGUGAAAUACAAACGUACCAAGUUAAUUCAUACCGAUUAAAUUAGUUAAAAACAGGAAUGAAUGUGUUGUGUGUGUGUGUGUGUGUGUGUGUAUGUGAGAGAAUCUUUCUUCAAAACUUGUGUUCUGCAACUGCAAGUGGGUUGUAUCCCCUGCAUAUGUAUGUAUAAUGUAUGUAUAUAUAAAAUUGAUUAAUUAAAUAAAAUAAAACUGACAUGUUUUUUUUUCUUUUAAUUAUUCUAUUUUAUAUUUAUUCCAUUUAUCCUAAAAAAACAUUUAUUUCAUUUUAAAAAUGGAAAAGACAUCAAUACCCUUGGAUUUGUCAUGUGCAACGCACAUGAGUUGAGAACAGGUCAUUUUGACCUGAAAACCGGCAAAAAAUGGCAAAGUGACACAAUUUAUUAAGUACGGGUGAACUCAUGCAAAAAAAAAUUGUUCAGGUGGUGAUCCGCAAAAACUGAAAAAGUUUAGGUGGUUUAAUGCUAUUUACCCAAAUAUAUAUUAAACAUAAGUAAUAUAAUAAGAAAAUUUGAAAAGAAAAAAAAAAAGAUGAGUGCAAAUUCACAGCUGGAAUUUCGACAGCGAUGGAUCGGGAGUUUUUGACAGGGGUCAAUUGGUGACGAGGAUGACGAGAAAGAAGAAAAAAAAAAAGGAGAGAAAAACACACAGUAAUCAUACAUUCCAAUUGCAGAGAUUCAGAGGGGCAAUUUUGUCCUUUCACACAAAAAUUGUACAAAAAUACAAGCAGUCAGACAAACUGGGAGUGAAUAUAAGAGCAGCACAGGUCAAAUAAAAUUGUUUUCUUAACCGCAGUGCUCCACCACCCUCAUGCCAACAACCACCGUGCUCCACCACUUGUAUUGCCGGUGACUUUUGGGAAUUGAAAAUUCACUCCUCCCACUAAAUGAUUAAAUGUACAGCCGGUGUGCCUCAACCAAGAGAUUCGACGUCGGAGAUUCUCUUCAUAAGGAAUUUCCAUAUGACUUAUUUUUAGUCAAAUUAAUUGAUCUUCAUUAAUUAAUAUUUUAAUGUAAUUAUUAUUUUAAGAACUGCAGGUUUCGAGUACAAGAAUGAUUUAGUAAUAUUUUAGGAUUAGGGUAGUUAGUUUUGUUGAAAGUGUUGGAUUGUCCUGAAAUAGUAGAAUGUUGUUUUUAUAAUGCAUUUUCUAAACAGUAGAAAUGAAGCAUGAAAUUACAGUUGACAGUACAGACAGGUAUGGGAAAACAAUUGAUAUGAAUUAAUGUAGUAGAAAAUGAAAAAUGGAAGUUGAAUGACGUAAAACUACUAAUCUCAAGGGUAGAGACGAAGGUGUGGAUUGUGGUUGGAAAUGGAUUUCCAGGGUUGACCCUCCUUGUCCCCGUAGACUUGUUUCAGUUGUGUUGAACCAGCAAUAGUCAACCACUUCAACGAUGGCGACACCUUUUGCAGGAGUCGUUGCGGCAGAUCCGUCAAUCUGCUGCAGUCAUAGAUCGUCAACUCCGUGAGGCAAGGCAUUAUUGAGAUAGCAACAUUAUCUUCUUCUUCCACCGUAAUGUCUUCCCACUCCGUCCAGUUUGGACACCUCCGAAAUGACAGUUUUUUUAACUUGGGGAAGCCACCAGCAAUAGUACCCAUCGAUGAACAUGUUGCUAUUCCCAGGAAUUCCCGUCCAACAUAUUUCAAUUUAGAUAAACCAAUAAUCGAAAGACGCUCAAGUAGCGGUAGUUUACCCAGCGGCGGCAGCGACGGAAGGCCUUCACAAUAGUCGAGACCAACAUUUAUGAGUUGGUUGAGGGGGGACGUGAUCCAUCGUGGAAGUUGAGAGCCUUCAUAGUAAUAAAUAAUCAGCUCUCGGAGGUUUGGAAGUGGCUCAAGAGCAUCUACCAGUUUGGAACCAUAAAUACACAACACCUUCAACGAUGGUGACACCUUUCGCAGGAGUCGUUGCGGCAGCUCCGUCAAUCUGCUGCAGUCACGGAUCGUCAACUCCGUGAGGCAAGGCAUUAUUGAGAUAGCAACAUUAUCUUCUUCCACCGUAAUGUCUUCCCACUUCUUCCAGUUAUUACAUGCCCUAAAUUUCAGGUACUUCAACUUGGGGAAGCCACCAUCAAUAGUACCCAUCGAUGAUGAACAUGUUGCUAUUCCCAGGAAUUCCCAUCCAACAUAUUCCAAUUCAGGUAAACCACUAAUCCCAAGAGUCUCCAGUAGCGGUAGUUUACCCAGCGGCGGCAGCGACACAAGGAAUUCACAAUUGUCCAGCUCAAUAGAUGUGAGUUGGUUGAGGGGGGACACAAUCCAUCCCGGAAGUCGGGAGCCGUAAUAGCCCACAAUAGUCAGUUGUUGGAGGUUUGGAUGUGGGUGAAGAGCAUCUAGUACUUCAUUAGAAACCGAUGUUGACGACGAUGAUGAACUAGUAUCUUUCACCUGUUUGCCACGGCCAUCCGUUGUUGUUGUUGAUCCAUAGAAAUUUAUUGUCAGUUCUUGAAUGUGCAUCUUUUUCCCCAACUCCACCUCACGAGCAUCCUCUACUGAAUCACAACAACUGCUUAUUACAAUCCACAUCUCCAGUUUCCCGCUAAGUCGGUUUAAAUUCUUCAACCACCCCACCUUAUUCCCAUCACAAGGAAAGACUUUAUUCAAUGUGACUAGACUCGUUAAUUCGGCUAUUCCUUGUGGAUAUUGCUUCAGAGAAUCAGUACGUUCAUUAUACAAAUGUUUGAGCUUCUUCAGCCUGUGGAUCCCUUGUGGAAGUCCACACAGACUACAACACGAACUAACAUUCAGGAUUUCUAAUUUACUCAAAUUGCAUAGGCUCUCCGGCAACUCUUUCAGUUGUGUAUUGUCACUCAAAUCCAAGUGUAUCAACUCACUCAAAUUCCCAAUCUCCAACGGAAUUUCUUGUAGCCCGCACCAGCCCACCCAAAGAAAUUGCAAGUUAUACAACUUACAAAUGGACUUCAGAUCAUCACCAACAAGUUUAUUAUGACUCAAGUUCAACCACCUCAAGUGAAUCAAUUUUUCUAUUUCUUUCGGAAUGCCUUUCAAACCACAACUUCUUAAUUUGAGCAACCUCACACUUGCCAGGCAAUCACAAACAUGUGGAUCAAGAACUUCUUUGCACUGACAUAAGCUACGAUAUUUUUCGACUCGGGAAACUAACAAAUGGCUACAGUCUUUGCAAGUUGUGUUCUUCAUUCUUGAUCCCACAUUCUUCCUCAGGAAUUCAGCGAAAUCAUGUACAAUGUCAUGCAUCAUAAACGAUUUUAUCUUUAUAUCGUCAUCUUUCAUAUAAAAGUCUUGAAACAGAGAACGCAUUGAUAAAUAAUCAAAGUACCCUCUCCCUCUAACUUUCCAGUCAUCAUCAGCAUUCGAUCCUAAAUAACCCAUUGCCAUCCAUCUUGUUAUUAGCUCAUCCACAUCAAUUCUGGUAUCUUUAGGAAAGACGGCACAAUACGAGAAGCAACGCUUCAAUGUUGGGGACAACUCGUCGUAACUAAGAAACAAAUGGCGGAAGAGGUCAUCUUCUACUUGCUCCAACUUCCAUAUUUCACUAUUCAACACGCUCUCCCACUCUUCCAAUGUAGUCUUGAACCGUAAGAGACUUCCCAAAGUCUUUGCUGCAAGCGGCAAUCCAUUGCACUUCUUGGUUAUCUCCUUACCCGUGUUCUCAAAUUCUUCACAUUGAUCCUUGUUCUUACCACAAAGGGCAAUCCGACCUAACAAUGACCAACAAUCUCCAUCAUUUAGAACUCCUAAACGAUGGAUCAUCCGAUCAUUCUUAAUAGACUCUCCCAUCAUCAUUAUUGCAACAUUUUCGUUUCUAGUUGUCACCAAAACUUUGCUACCCGUUCCACCACUUUUGAGAGUGUUUUUCAAGGGUUUCCACUUGGUAUCGUCUUGUGUCCAAACAUCAUCCAUAACAAGAAGAAACUUUUUCCCUGAAAUAGACUCUUUUAGACGUUGCAGUAGCAUUUCCAAUUGGUUGGUCUUUGGGGGUUCAUCCAACUUUUCCACACUUGCCACAAUCCCUUUCACAAUCUCAACCUCGUUAAAGGGAUCGGAAACAGAUAUCCAAAUUCUUAACUCAAAACAAUUCUCAACUCGACUAUCGUUAUAAGCUAGUUGAGCAAGAGUUGUCUUCCCAAGGCCACCCACACCCACUAUAGAUACAACGCGGAUGCCUCCUAUUAAACCUUCUUCGCUACUACCACCUUCACCCACAAGUUUACUCACCAGAGCUUCUCUCUCUAAGUCUCGGCCAUAAACUUCAUCUUUGUCGAUGACAGAAGUAGUUUGACCUCGCCAAGAUUCACGAUCAGAUUGUUGUGACGUGACCUCAUCAAAACCAAACCGAUCUUUCUCCGCCAAAACCAGAUCAAGCCGUUCUUUCACUUGUUUUAUCUUCAAGGCAAUUCCACGACGCACAGAAACUUUCUUGAAACAUAAAAACGAGCAAGGGAUGCAAAAGCGUACCGUGCACUUAGGAGGAACAACAUCAGCAUCAGCAUCAGCAGCAGCAACACCAUCAGACGAUUGUUCGAUCUGAAACUUGAGAAUGGAGUAGUUCCAUUCGUCCAACACGUCAUCCAUUUCGUAUGUCGUGUUUUCGAGGCUCGUCAGCCAUUCUUUGAUGCUCUUUUUCUUAUACAUCUUCUUCUCCGCAUCUUCCAACACGUUUCUGACUGUGUUCAGAUCAACGGAAAGUUUGAGAAUCUCCUUCUUAACUCCUCUCACCAAAUUUACUUCGUCUCGGAUCUUCUUUUCCACGAGAGCUGCAAUGCGCUCCAACACAACGGAAACGAUAGCAUCCGCCAUGAGUUUUUUUUUUCUUUUUUUUCUUUGAAUUAUAUGUGUGUAUAUUAUUCCUUUGUGAAUUGUGAUCGUAUAUAGUAUGAACCAAUAAUUGAUAAGGUGGAGAAAAUAUGCAGAAAUAAAGAUGAACAAAGACACAAAAGUUUUGUGAUUUAUCAAUUUCCAUGCCCCCACUUUUACUUUUGUAAAUUGCACACAGCUAGCUGCAUGUGGGACAACAAUUAUUGCUCAAACUUUCAAUUUUUUGUUUGCGUUUUAUUAUUUCUCACAUAUAUUUUCAGUUUUAAUUGCAUGUUAACUGAAAGUAACUGUAUAAUUUUCAAGAAUUCCAACUCUUUUAUUAUAAUUUUAAUCUAUUAAUUAGUGUAUUUAAAAGUUUUAAAUUUUCAAAGAUAUAUUUUUAUUAUUUUUAUAUUUUUUCUACUUUAGCAUGUUCUCACCGAGAGAAACUAUUAUUUAAUCGAGGUUAUUAAUUUAGCGAGUAUUAAUUUAUCGAGGUUCUAUUGUAUUAAAAUUAUUAUUUAGUAUAUAAUUUAGGGUAGAUUAAAAAAAAAAAAACCUGAACUUAGCCUAAAUAACGAAAAAUACCCCCACCUAUCCGUAAUAACCAAAAUCCCUCUAUGAUUAACUAUUGAUCGGGUUUUUUUUUAACAAAAAAAAAAGUGUACAAUCUAUUAUACUAUAUGUUAAAUAAGUGAGAAAUAAAAUACAAUAUCUGAAAUCGUGUAAAGUUUAUUCCCUGGAAUAAAAUAAAAAAAAAGUCUGUGAAAAGUAGGAGUUCGUGUAAGACAGAAACAAAUUUCACGGGAUUUUUUGUAAUUACGAGUAGGUGGGGCGUUUUUUGUUAUUCAGCCUAAGUUCAGGGGAGUUUUCAUAAUUUAUCUUAUAAUUUAUCUCGAAGGUAUUACAUAUAAAAAUAAUAUAAAUAAUUUAAGACUUCGUUUUAUUAUUUCAUCAUAUUUUGUAACUGAAUAAAUAUAUUUUCCAGUUAAUUAAAAAAAAAUCAUUUUUAAAUGAAGAAUAAUUGGUUAGGUUGGAGAUACAUGCACCCACUUUUACUUUUGUAGUAAAACUUUACAGCAGUAGGUGGGACAAGACAAUUGCUCCCAGACCUACUAGUCAAACUUUAAAAGUUAAUGGGGUCACAAUUCUAAUUAUUAAUGUUCUUAAAAAAAGAUUAAGGGUAAAUUACGGCCGCCCUCCUAACUUAUGGUAAUUACGAAAAUCCUCCUCAUGUUUUGGGUAAUUGUAGUAUCGAACCGUCUCAAGUUCGAGAAUCGCCGCAUUCCAUUCGUCCAACACGUCGUCGUGUUUUCGAGCCUCAUCCAUUUAACUAUUCAUUUUAGUUAUUUCUUUCGAUAAAAGAGAAAAAUCUAAGGUAUUAAAACCUAAAAGACAAAUUAAAUGAUACUUGAGGGGUUAAGUGUUACAACUUACAAAUGAUACUUUAAGGGGUAAGUGUUACAUAGGGUAUAUAUUUGAAGGGUGUAUUUAACCCUUUAAAAAAAUAUGUUCAUUGCAGCCAUAAUUUAUAUUAGAAUAAAUUACAACCACCCCCAUGAGGUAUGGUCAAAUUACGAAAAAAUCCCUUCCUGUUUGGAUAAUUACAUUUACCCCUCAACUAUGAAUCUUCUUACAUAUCCACCAUUAUGGUGUCAAAUUCAACAUAAUUAUCUAGAUUCCGUGGAAUGUUCGCUAGUUUGUACUCGUUUUGUGUAAAAAUACAGUUUUUGAUGCACCACAAUCUGAUAUAUAAAAGCCAAAAAACAUAAAUUAUGAUCAUCUAGCUUCAAAAUGUGGAGCUCGAAUGGGAUAAAACGGGUCCAAAAUUGAGAAUAUUCCAUAUAAUUUAGAAGGUUCCACUAAAUUUGAAACCGUAAGUGUGACGUGUAGGAAGAUUUAUUGUUGAGGAUGUUGUUGUAAUUACCCAAACAUGAGGGAUUUUUUUGUAAUUUAACAAUACCUCGGGAUUGUAAUUUACCCUUUAUAUUAUCCGAAUUUUUUUAUGAUAGAUACAUAUAACUUGCAAAACUCUAUAAUAUAAUGCAUGUGUGAUUCCAAAUUUAUUAUUAUUAAUUUAUUAAUGAUACAAUAAAAAUAUUGGAAGAAAAAUUCAAAGAAAAUUCCAUGAAAUUAUAAAUUUUUUUACUUUAUAGUAGAAUUGAAAUUUUGUAGAUUAUAAGAAGAAAAAAUAUCAUGUCAUUAAAGUCGAAGUUUUAUUAUUGGAUUAUUAAUGGAGAGGAUAAAUAUUACAUUUGAUACUUCAAGAAGAUAAUUAUUACAACUCCUAUAUUUUGGGGUUCAAACUGUAUUUAAUCAUUUUAUGAAUCAUAUCGGAUAUUGAUCUGGACAAAAUACUGGAUCAUGGUCAAAAAUCCGGUUUUAUGAGUUAUAGUUUUACGGUUCAACCGGUCCAAAACUCAGAGUUUUCAGUAAAAUCCGAUUUUUUGUAAUUUACGGUUUUGUAGCUCACAAAUAGGACCGGGCGGUCUGGGCUAGGCAAUAGUACAUUGUCCAACGGUUGAGUCGGGCCUGUCCGGUCCGAGUUUCAAAAACAUUGAAAUUUUGAUUUUUCAAAAAUUAAAAUACUAUAAGAUAAGAUUGGAUUAUGUUAAAUUAGAGAUUACAAGGCAUUUAGUGUCACGUAUAACUAAUUUUAAUGCUAGUUUUUAAUAAUCUAACUAACUAUAAUGUAAGGAAUUAGUAUUAUCCAAACUUAUUAAAAAUGUAUUUAUUUUAGAAAAUACGAGAAAACCCGACCCGAAUUUCAUUUUACCCGAAGCCCAGCCCACCAAAAACCCAAACCCGUAACCCAAACCCGUAUCUCACAUCGCUGCAAAAUUUCUCACCUCCACUCCAUCCAUCCAACUCGCCGUCCAUUUCCAUCGGAGAAGCCACCGCUAAUUUCUCCGGCGACCGGCGUGGCUCAACCAAUUUGCGGAGAAGCUAUACCGUAGUGACUGUAUACCCAAUGGCAACAACGCCGAUGAUUCCACCCGCGGCGGCGAACCCAGCGUUAGAUGGCGGCGCGCCUCCGCCACCGCAGAUGGUGGCUCCACCUCCUCCGGGUACAGACAUGACCGGAAUCUGUUUCCGCGAUCAGCUGUGGCUCAACACUUACCCACUUGACCGAAACCUAGUUUUUGAUUACUUCGCUCUCUCCCCAUUCUACGAUUACUCGUGCAAUAACGAGCAGCUUCGUCUCCGCGCAACUCACCCCCUCGAUCUCUCCCACCUCUCGUAAGUGCCGCUUUUUGUUCGACCUAAUUUGAUCGUUUAUUUUCAAUUUGGGUAUAAUUAUCCGAUAGUUAAUUUUGAUUUUUUAAGGUUCAAUUUGGAGUGUAUGUGUACACAUAAACACAGUGAAAUUGGAUUUAUUAAUGAAGUAGUCUAAAUUGAAUUUGUAAAAAAAUUGAAGCUUGAUGUUAUUCAAUGGGUAUAUUUUCUGCAUGAAGGAAGAUGACCGGAAUAGAGUACUCGUUGAGUGAAGUGUUGGAGCCGCAUUUGUUCGUAUUCAGAAAGCAAAAACGGGAUGGCCCCGAGAAAGUGACACCUAUGCUAACUUACUACGUCUUGGAUGGAUCAAUAUACCAAGCCCCCCAGCUUUGCAACGUAUUUGCGUCUCGAGUUGUUAGUAUCCCCUUCACCUACCGUUGUUCGUUUUUUUUUUUUUUAAUUUAAACUGUGUGAUGACAUUAAGCACGUAUUUCGUAGUUUUCGGAUUAUUUGGUUGAAAUUUUGCAUCUACAGAUACAGUUGCUGCAAGAUGAUAUUUUGUUUGGUGUAUUCGUUAUUGUAGUUCCUUCCGGGUUUUUUAUCCCUUAAGCGCUGUAUGGACUUCAAAUUGUGUGAUUCGUGUAUGUGUAUAUAUAUUAUUGUCUGAAACGAGUCUAACUAGUAACUACUUCAGCUGGUCUGUAUGUAUUCGGUGUUGCUAAUGCUUCUUUUUGGCCUAUCGUAAAGUUCGUUGAAGUUCCUAGAUGGUGGUUUUUCCCGAUUCUCAUGUUUGUGAUAAUCGAAAUGAGAUAAACGAUAAGUGAUAACUGUGAGUGUAUAUUCAAUAAGGUAGCAUUGUUUUAUCUGACAAGUAUUUAUGGUGAUGAUUCAUGCUUUCCGUUUCUGCUCCAGAUAAUUGAAUAUCCUUAUUUUCUCCGAUCUUUUGUUCGUUUUCUGAUUAGAUGGAAGUUCGUCAUAAGAUUAUCAGUAAUAAGUGUAUUUACACCUUAUAUAUCGUCAAAACUCAGGUGUUCUAAUGUAACGCUUUAUCCUCUUUUGACAGGGACGCGCGUUGUACCAUAUAUCCAAGGCUUUUAAUACUGCAGCUUCAAAGUUGGAGAAAAUCGGAUAUGGUAUAUUCCAAUUUUAGUAAAUUAUUUACCUUUUUUCUCCUUUGACCUAAGUGAUGUGCGCAGUGCGCCUACACGAGUACGUACGAUUAAUUAAGAAAAUGAGUUGGUGCUUGAUAUACGAUUGCAUAACAAUCUACUUGUGCUAUAUUAUCUUGCAGCACAUCUAACUAAUCGAAGCUCAAGCUUCCAUAAAUUUUUUAGCUUGUAAUUUCUCGUGUUCUUCUGGCACAGUUGACGCCGAAAACGAGAGUACAUCCUCUGAACCAAAAGCUGCUAAAGAGACCAUCGACUUUAAAGAACUUAAACGUGUAGACCAUAUUCUUGCUUCUCUGCAACGCAAGGUAGAACAAAUCUCUUUCUUCACCGAAUGUAAUCGGUUAUUUGUUACGUAAAAUUAGACCCAUCUCCGUUUUUCUGGCAUCGGUGACAUAGAUAUGCAUGUGGAGCUUAUAUUAGUUAUUAGUACCGUGUCAUUAUAUCUCGCAUUUGAGAAUUAUUUACGGAGUUCAAUUUCUAAUAAAUGUUGUAAUAUUGCUCAGCUUCCACCCGCCCCACCUCCACCGCCCUUUCCCGAUGGCUAUGCCCCUCUCAGUACAGAAGGAGAGAAAAGCUCCGAUAGCCAGUCAGCAGAGCCGUUGCCACCUGUCGAUCCAAUCAUUGAUCAAGGCCCUUCCAAAAGGAUAAAAUUUUCAGCAUGACAUCGUCUUCUUUGAGAAACCGGUAACUUCUGACUUGUGAUCUUCAUCCGGGAAGCUUAUAUAACUAGGAUAUUCUGAAGUUGAGCAUUGUAAACAUUAUGAACCGAAACGAAAUCGAAGCUGUAGUGCGAAUUCGAGCUACGUUUGCUAGGUGCUAAGUGCUAAAUAUCAUAAAUUUGGUUCCCGGUUUUAUAUUUAUGGAAUUGUAUUUGAUUUACCACCCAAUUUCUUGAACGGUGCUGCUUCUGAAAUCUGAACUAUAAAUUCUUUGAUGGUUAAUCCAAUUCACAAUCCACAGACCAUAAUUUUAUAUUUAAUCCCAAAUAUAUACAAUCAUUAUUUUAAUAAUAAAAAAAUUCCACACAAUUUUUAAUUUAUUUUUUUGUCAAAUUAAAAUGAAAAUAAGCUCCAAAAUACUUUAAAAUAUUGCAUAGCAAUGAGGAAACUAUCUAAAAAACAAUUGAAAUAUUUUUUAAAAUUCUACUAGGGCAAUAUAAAAUAGGGUAAAUUACAACUACCACCUGAGGUCUGAUCAAACUACGAAAAAACUCCUUCAUAUUUGAAUAAUUAUUCAAAUGGGAUAAAAUGAAUCCAAAAUUGAAAAGAUUCCAUGUAAGCUAGAAAAUUCUACUAAAUUUGAAACUGCAAGGAUGGACGUAUAACAAAAUUUAUAAUUAAGAGGUGAUUGUAAUUAUCCAAACAAGAGAGAGUUUUUAUAAUUUGAUCAUAACUAAAGUGGUUGCAAUUUACCCUAUAAAAUAUGAUUUAUGGUUAUUAGUUGUCCGUAUAAUGCCAAUAAAACAAGUUCCAAUUUCCAAUUCCACUUGCACCUAAACUAAUUAAUAUUGAUGGGGGUACGAUGAGAGGUUGUCGUGGCACAAUUGAUCAUCGCUAGUGACACUGAUACAUCACUAUUUUGCUUUCUGUUAAGCAUUUUUAUUGAAUUUAGUGUCGAAUAUAUUGGGAAUUGGACUAAACUCGAUUGUCUAAAAAACAAUAUCAUUUCUUCACAUGUCUGAUUUUUUUUUUUCUGCAACUAUUAGCUGUACUACUAUUGCAUUAUUAAAUUCGGAAUAUAAAAAUAAAUAGAAAUAAUGCAAUACGACAAAAUUAAUAAUGAUAAAAUUUAUCCAGUUUAAUCCAUCCUUGACUGUAAUCCACGUCAGCGGGUCCCACCCUCGAACAACGUAAUUCAGAAGGAAUAUGGUAUCCAACGCAAGUCUGAGUCGACGUGGGACCCACACAAUAAAAACAAUAAAUAAAUAAAUAAAAAUCCGCCGCUGCAUGAGUAGGUUUUUCUCCCUCCUUUUUUUUUUUUUACGUUAACCAUUUUAGUUGAAUUUAAUAGUAUUUUUAAUAAUAAUAAUAAAAUAAAAAAUAAAGAUGUAAAAGAAAGAGUGAAAGAUUUUCAGGGAAGGACUUGUUUGCUCCGAAUUCACAGGGAAGGACUCUCCGGCAAUUAUAAAUAAUGCCCUUUCUUUAACCUUUUUCUCACAAUGCAAUUAAUUGUCUUGCAUUCUUUUCCUCUCUUCAAUUCCUCAUAUUUUUAUUAAUCUUGAAUAUUAAUUCAGGAUGACUAUUCUCAUUCAUCAGCCUGACUUUGGUAAUUUUCUUUCUUUUUUUUUUUUUUUAAUUAUUUUUUCCUCAUAAGUAAUUCUUGAUCCUCUCUCUCUCUAUAUGUAUAUAUAUACUUUUUUAAUUAAAUUAAGCAAAAUAAUUGCAGUUUGAUUUUAAUGAUUAUUUCUCUUCAGUCUUCAGAUCCAUGGUUUCUUUGAUUAUUUUCUCUAUAUUUGAAGUUUAUCCCUUUUUUCAAUUGUUUUUUUCUGAAUAUUGGUAAUUUUGCGAAAUUUAUUUAUUUAAAAUUAUUUAGAAUAUCUGUUUAAUUUAUUACUAGUAUUUCACCCGUGCGUUGCACGGAGGUCAGUUUCAAAAUGAGAAAAUUAAACUUAUGUAUAAACGACUGUCUCUUUAUAACAAUACCAAUUCAAGUAAAACAAAAUGGAAGGAAAUAAAAAAACAUAAACUUUAUCUCUUAAUUUAGAGUUGUAACAUAUGAAAUUAAGUAAAAUAUUACAAAUAAAAGAACAUGAAGCGCGCAAAACACGAUAUCAAGAUUAAGUGAAAUCGUUUAAAACAUAUGGUAUAACUCUAUUUCUUGGAUUGCAAUCUACUACACCAUGUGAAUCUUCUACAAAAUAACUGAGGUAACAACAAACACGGUAGGAGAGAAGUAACACAAUAGAUAUUCAAAUAACUUGCAAGUUUAUCACUAAUGGCGUUUAAUUAGUGAUGCAGAUUACUCAAACAACAAUAAAAAUUAUAAAUAAAGAGAUAUGAUGUAUACGCCACUACCAGUACCGAUACCAAUGUUGAUACCAAUACUGAUACCAAUACUGUUACCAAUAGUGAUACUAAUUCGAUUAAUACUAAUACUAAUAUUAAUACUUAUACUAACACUAAUACUAAUACUAAUACUAAUACUAAUACUAAUACUAAUACUAAUACUAACACUAAUACUAAUACUAAUACUAAUAUUAACACUAAUACUAAUACUAAUACUAAUGUUAAUACCAAUAGUGAUACUAAUACUAAUAUUGGUAAUAAUACUGGUACUAAUAUUAAUAUUAAUACUAACACUAAUACUAAUACUAAUAAUACUAAUAACCAUACUAAUACUGAUACUAAUACAAAUAUUAAUAAUAAUACUGAUACUAAUAAUAAUCCUGAUACUAAUACUAAUACUAAUACUCAUACUCGUACCAAUACUAAUACUAAUACUAAUACUAAUAGUAAAACUAAUACUAAUACUAAUAUUCAUAUUGAUACUAAUAGUAAUACUAAGAAUAAGACUAAUAUUGAUACUAAUACCAAUAAUAAUAUUGAUACUUACAUUGAUAAUUAUAGUGAUACUAAUACUAAUACUAAUACUAAUACUAAUACUAAUACUAAUACUAAUACUAAUAUUGAUACUAAUACUAAUAUUGAUACUAAUACUAAUACUAAUACCGCUACUAAUACUUAUAUUAAUACUAAUUCUGAUACUAAUAAUAAUACCCAUAGUCACACCAAUAAAAAAAAACACUAAUAAUAAUACUAAUACUAAUAUUCAUAUUGAUACUAAUGCUAAUACUAAUACUAAAAAUAAUACUAAUACUAAGAAUAAUGGUAAUAUUGAUACUAAUACAAUAACACUGAUACUUACAUUUAUAAUGAUAGUUAUAUUGAUACUGAUAUUAAUACUAAUACUAAUACUAUUACGAAGAAUAAGACUAAUACUGAUACUAAUGCUAAUAAUAAUACUGAUACUUAUAGUGAUGGUAGUAGUGAUAUUGAUACUAAUAUUCAUACUAAUUGUAAUACUAAUACUAAUACUAAUACUGAUACUGAUACUAAUAACAAUAAUAAUUCUGAUACUGAUACUAAUACUUAUACUCAUGCUGAUACUCAUAGUAAUAUUAUAUUAAUACUGAUAUUGAUAUUGACACUAAUACUAUACUCAUAGCAAUAUUAAUAUUAAUACUAAAACUAAUACUAAUACUUAUAUUGAUAAUGAUAAUGAUACUAAUACCGAUACUCAUAUUGAUACUCAUAGUAAUACUAAUACUAAUAUUGAUACUCAUACUGAUACUCAUACUAAUAUUGAUACUUAUACUCAUACUGAUACUCACAAUCAUACUGAUACUCGUACUAAUAUUGAUACUAAUAUUGAUAUUGAUAUUGAUACUAAUACUGAUACUGAUACUGCUACUAAUACUGAUACUAAUAUCGAUAUUGAUAUUGAUAUUGAUAUUGAUAUUGAUACUCAUACUCAUAUUGAUACUGACAUUGAUACAAAUGUUGAUACAUAUACUGAUACUGAUACGGAUACGAAUACUGAAACUAAAACAGAAACUGAUACUGAUAUUGAUAGUGAUACUGAUAAUGAUACUGAUAUUGAUACUACUGAUACUGAUACUGAUACCGAUACCGAUACCGAUGUCGAUACCGACACUGAUGCCGAUACUAAUGCCGAUACCAAUAUUGAUAUUGAUACUGAUAUUUAGACUAAUAUUAAUAUUAAUAAUAAUACUAAUAUUAAUACUAAUAUUAACACUAAUAUUAAUACUAAUAUUAAUACUAAUAUUAAUACUAAUACUAUUAAUAAUACUAUUACUAAUACUAUUAUUAAUACUAAUACUAAUACUAAUAUUAAUAUUAUUUCUAAUACUAAUAUGUUAAUAUUGUUAAUGUAAAUGCUAAUGUACAUAUUCUAAUGCUAAUACUAAUUUUAAUGUUAAUAUUAAUCUGGAUAUGCUUAUAUGUUGAUUAUAAUUGUAAUACUAAUAUUAUCCAAAUCCUUAUCCUAUUCCUAAUCUUAUUCAUAACACUAAUCAUGAUUCUAAUCCUUAUCAUAAUUAUAAUCCUAAACCUAUUUCUAACAUUAAUUAUAAUCCUAAUAAUUUUACUACUAAUAAUAGUAAUGUUAAUGCUAAUGUUAAUUCUAAUUAUAAUUCUAAUUUUAAUUCUAACCAUAAUCCUAAUUAUAAUGCUAAUCAUAAUCAUAAUACUAAGAGCCUGUUUGGCUAAGCUUAUAAGCUCCUAAAAACAUCUUAUAAGAUGUUUAAGAGCUUAUAAGCUCUUAAAAAGUGUUUGGUAAAAAAAUUCGAAAAGAUCUUAUUUUUUCAAAAAAUAAGCUGUUAGGGAGCUUAUAAGAUGUUUUUAAAAAAGUACCUCCACCCCACCUUUUUUCAAUAAGAUCUUAUUUGAUUCUUUACUAAAACACUUAAAAUACAAAAUUACCCUCAAAUACUUUAUUAUAUUACAUGAAUACUAAUAACAUUUAUAUUUUAUCAAAAACAACAUAUUCUUGUAAUCGAGAUUAAUAAUUAGUUAAAAUAUAAUUAUCAUAAUAAUUGUAAAAAAAAUGUUCUCUAUUUAUAUUUUAUAUGUAUAUAAAAAUACCCGAAUAUUCUUAUUAUCUCAAUAAUAAAUUAUAUUUCUUUUAUCUAGCUAUAAAAAAAUAUACAUUUCUUUUACAACCUUUAUAUUAUUAUAUAUUAAUAUAUUAAUGGGAGAAAAAUUAAAACUUUCACAAAUCUGUUUCAUUAAAAUAUUUUAUUACACUUCAUUUUAUUUUAAAAAAUUGUCAAAUGUCAUAUCAACAUACAUAAAAAAAUAUUUGGUAUGUUUAAUAUAUAAUUUUAUAUUAUUAUUUUUAUUUGAAAAAUUAAUUUGUAAAUAUUAUUAUAAUAACAUUUUAGGAACAAAAUUAUUUAAGUCGAAUUAGUUUGACAGUUAUAAUGGCGUCAUGUACUUUUUUGUCAUUAUAGUGAUAAACAGACCUUUUAUUUCCAAACACCUGAUUAACUUAUAAAAACUAAAAUUAACUUAUAAGUUACAUAUCCAAACACCUUAAAAAUUAAUUUUUAAAAUAAGAUCUAACAGCUUAUCAGCUCCUAAAACAUCUUAUCAGAUGUAGGAGCUUAUAAGAUGUUUUAAAUAAGCUUAGCCAAACGGGCUCUAAUAAAUGUCACUAAUUGUAGUACUGAUCAAUAAUCAUAAUCUUAAUUAUAAUUCUAAUACUAAUAUUAAUCAUAAUUCUAAUCCUAAUAUUAAUUCUAAUGCUAUAUUAACCUUAAUUACAACCUGAAUCUGAAUCCUAGUAUUAAUACUAAUACUAAUUCAAAGAAUAUUAAUUACAAUCCCAAUUCUAAUGCUAAUCUUAAUCACAGUCCUAAUUCUGAUUUUGCAUCAAUGUUUUUGCAAUUAUCUAUUAUUUUUUAUAAAAAAACAAUUAUAUUCAAUCUCGCAACUUUUAUAUCUAAUUCCUUAUGUGUGGUAAGUGAAACAUCAAGAAAUACAUAUUAAAUAUAUUAGAAAUUAAUAUUUAAUUAUAUUAUCAAGCAGAUAUUAAAAUUAUUUAAAAUAAUAUAAGGAUAUAAGCAAACGUUAAGACGUGAAAAGAACGAAUUGUUAUUAAUAGGAUAAAUUACGAAAAUCCUCAUGAACUUAGGCUAAAUCACAGAAAGCACCCCCACUUAUUGGUAAUUGCCAAAAUCCCCCAGAUGAUUGUUUGUCUUACACGACCCUCUUAUGGUGUGAUUUUUUAGGGAAUCUUUUUUAUUCCAUAAAAAAUUGUGGAUUCUACCCUUGCAGACGUGACAUUUCUUUUAUCUUACUUUUUAAAUACUAAAAUUACCCUUAUGGGAGGUAAUAGUAAUACUAAAAAGUUGUGAAGAUGUUAUUUAAGAAAAAUAAAUAUUUCGUGUAAAGUUCCCCCUCAGGGUAAUUUUUGUCUUUAAAAAGUACCAUAAACAAAUGUCGUGUGCAGGAUAGAAUCAACAUUUUUUGGGGAAUAUUCCACUUAAUAAAAAAAAUUGCGUGAACAAUCAUACCGUAAGGGGGUCGAUGUAAGACGGAAACAAACAUUAGGAAAAUUUUGGUAAUUACGAAUAUGAUAUUAAAUUAGUAAAAAAGAUAAACAUAUUCUUUGGUCAUGUUCAUGUAAAAUGUAUAAUAUCAAAUAAUUUAUUUUGCAAUAUUUUUUUAUAUAAAUUCAAGUUUAUGAAUUAAAAUACAAAAUUUUCGUAACACCAUCAAUCAUACAAUUAUAAUAAGUGAAGAUUUUAAAUUGAAUUUAAAUUAAAUUAAUUACUAUUAAAAUUAAAUUAAAAAAUAAAACUAUUUAAAGUUUCCAAGAAAGUUGAUAUAUUUAGAGCAUUUUAUAAAUGGUAUGACUAAAUAUAUAAUAAAAUAAUUUAAUAUCUUUUUAAUUUUGGAAAAUGGUGACAUGUUUUUUGAUGAUUUAUUUUCACCAAUUAAUUUGCCACAUGGGAUGAAAUUGAAUACAUGUCACCAAUUGAAAUUGACAAAUGUCAAUCAAUUAGGUGUGGAAUUCAACUUUUAUAUAUUAUAUAGAUUGUGCCUGGAAAAAAAAAACAGGGAUUGAAGUGGAGGAAAAGAAGGUUCCAAACUCAGAAAAGGAUUUGGUUUUGGAUGGAGGAUUUGUUUUGCCACAUGCCAAUUCUUUUGGCCAUAACUUUAGGUCUUUUUUUUCUCCUUCAAUAAUCAUUUAAUUAUGCACCUAAAACUUAAUAAAUAAUACUUAAAUUGAAACUAUUUGCUUCAAGAAUCUAAUUUAUGAUGAUUGAAUAUGGACUCAUCUAUGCCAUAAAUAUAACAUGGUUUCACUUUGAAUAAUUGAGGGAAAAUUACAGUUUUCGUCCCUCAAGUUUGCAGCAGUUUCAGAUUUGGUGUUCAUGUUCACAAAAAUUACAUCUGAUCCCUCAUGUUUUCAAUAAUUCAACACUUUUAACCUUUUUCCAUCAAUUAUUAAGGCAGUUAUAGUAACAGAAAAUUGAAGUAAAAAAUUAAAAGUGUUGAAUUUUUUAAACAUGAGGGUCAAACUUUUUUUUUGUUGAACGCGGAGGACUUAAUGGGAAAUUAGUGCAAACUCAAGGGACAAAAAUUGUAUUUUACAUAUUUGGACUUUGGACAAAAUUGACAAUUUAAUUAAUCCCUCAAGUCCAAAUAUUUUAUGGGCCUAAAUAUUUGUUUGGUCCAUAUCCCAAACAAGCCCUUCAAAAUUCUACAAUUUAUUUACUUUUUAUUUGCAAAUAAAUAUUCAGAAAUAUAUAUUAUUUCAAUAUGAAACAGAGAUUAUGAUGCUGAAAGUGAAAGGCAACAAGGGGUGGAGACUUUCUACAAAACCCAACACAUCCACCAAACCUAUGACUUUGUAAGUAAUAUUAUUCAAGAAAAUAUUUUUAUUUUUUUUUAUUUUUUUCAUUAAAUUAUUUUUUUUAUUUAAUAUUAAUUAACUAACAGGUGAAGAAAAUGAGAGGAGAAUAUGAUAAAUUGGACAAAGUGGAAAUGAGCAUAUGGGAAUGCUGUGAGCUACUAAACAAUGUUGUGGACGAAAGUGACCCUGAUUUGGAUGAACCUCAAAUUCAACAUUUGCUUCAGACAGCUGAAGCAAUUAGAAGAGAUUACCCUAAUGAAGAUUGGCUCCAUUUGACCGGUCUCAUCCACGGUACAUUGACUAAAAUACCCUUGUCAUUAAUUUUUUUUUUCGAUUUUCGAUCCAUUCCGUCUGAUUUCCGCCCCUAUAUUUAACAAAUGAUAUGGGCUAAUUGCAUGAUAUGUUGUUAAAAUUUGAAUUAAAUAACAUAAUUUAAUUUUAUAUAUUGGAAAAGAAUAAAUAUUAUAGAGGUGCAAAUUAAAGAAGCAUAAAAUUGAAGAGAAACGGAGAAUUCAACCAACCAGUAACCACCGUGCUCCACCACUUGUGUUGCCGGUUACUUCCAGUAUUUGAAAAAUUCCUCCUCCCACUUAUAAAUAUAUCUAUGAUAUAAACCUCAGAAAUCGAAAAAUAAAUUAACAUUUUUUUAAUGGCUUCUUUCACAAGUUUUUGUUUUGCCACUUUAUUCAUAACAUUGGCCAUCACAAGUUCUUCUCCGGCAGCCACCGUGGCGGCGGAGGAGUUCAAGAUUGGCAGCAGCCAGCGGCCAACGACACUGAAAUAUACACCCGGUGGGCCUCGACCAUGAGAUUUCACGUCGGAGAUUCUCUCCGUAAGUACUUUUUUCCUUUUUUUUUAGUAUAUAUAUAUAUAUAUAUAUAUAUAUAUAUAUGUCAAUAUGUGUAAUUGAUCUUCAUUAAUAUUUAUGUAACUAUUUAUUAUUGUAGCUUAAUUUAGUAAUAUAUUAGGAUUAGGAUUAGGAUUAGGAUUAGGGUGAAAUAGUAGAGUGUUGUUUUUAUAAUUCAUUAUCUAACUCUAUUCUAAUAGUACAAGUGAUAUUGAUGAUGCGUACAAUGAAAAAAACAAGGAAUUAAUUAAUUAAUUAAUGGUCAUGGUAUUAAUUGAAUCGAAUUAAAAAAGAUGAAUGGCACAGAACUAAAAUAAAUAAUCUCAAUUAAUAUCUGAGGCGAAGCUGUGGAUUGUGGCGGGAAAUGGAUUUCCAGGGUUGACCCUCCUUGUCCCCGUAGACUUGUUUCAGUUGUGUUGAAAAAAAAAUAUCCAACUCCUUCAAUGACGACAACGAAACCUUUUCCAGGAGGCGUUGCGGCAGCUCCGUCAAUCCCUCGCAGGAACGGAUAAUCAACUCCGUGAGGCAAGGCAUUAUUGAAUACUUUUCUUCUUCUUCUUCUUCUUGGGCAGUGGUGAUGUCCUCCCACUUGUUCCACUUUGGACACUUCCAAAAUGACAGUUUUUUUAACUUGGGAAAGCCACCAUCAAUAAUAUUAUUAGUACCCGAUGAACACGAAGAUGUUGUUGUUGUUGCUAUUCCCAGGAAUUCUCGUCCAACAUAUUCCAAUUCAUAUAAAUUAUCAAUCGAAAGAGUCUCCAGUAGCGGUAGUUUACCCAGCGGCGGCAGCGAUGUAAGGCCUUUACAAAAGUAGAGCCUAAUAUGUGUGAGUUGGUUGAGGGGGGACGUGAUCCAUCGUGGAAGUUGAGAGCCUUCAUACUGAUAAAUAAUCAGCUCUCGGAGGUUUGGAUAUGGUUUCAGAGCAUCUACCUGUUUGGAACCAUAACUAUGCAACACCUUCAAUGAUGAUGAAACCUUUCGCAUGAGGCGUUGCGGCAACUCCGUCAAUCUCCUGCAGUCACUGAUCUCCAACUCCGUGAGGCAAGGCAUUACUGAGAUAGCAACAUUAUCUUCUUCUUCUUCUUCCACCGUAAUGUCUUCCCACUUCUUCCAGUUGAUACAUUUCCAAAAUGUCAAUUUCUUCAACUUGGGGAAGCCACCAGCAAUAGUACCCAUCGAUGAAGAUGUUGCUAUUCCCAGGAAUUCCCGUCCAACAUAUUCCAAUUUAGAUAACCUUUUAAUCUCAAGAGUCUCCAGUAGCGGUAGUUUACCCAGCGGCGGCAGCGACACAAGGAAUUCACAAUUGUCCAGCUCAAUAGAUGUGAGUUGGUUGAGGGGGGACACAAUCCAUCCCGGAAGUCGGGAGCCGUAAUAGCCCUCAAUAGCCAGUUGUUGGAGGUUUGGAUGUGGGUGAAGAGCAUCUAGUACUUCAUUAGAAACCGAUGUUGACGACGAUGAUGAACUAGUAUCUUUCACCUGUUUGCCACGGCCAUCCGUUGUUGUUGCAGAUUCAUAGAAAUUUAUUCUCAGUUCUUGAAUGUGCAUCUUUUUCCCCAACUCCGCCUCUACUGAAUCACAACAACUGCUUAUUUCAAUCCACAUCUCCAGUUUCCCGCUAAGUCGGUUUAAAUUCUUCAACCACCCCACCUUAUUCCCAUCACAAGGAAGGACUUUAUUCAAUGUGACUAGACUCGUUAAUUCGGCUAUUCCUUGUGGAUAUUGCUUCAGAGAAUCAGUUGCUUCAUUAUACAAAUGUUUGAGCUUCUUCAGCCUGAGGAUCCCUUGUGGAGUCCACACAGACUCUCACACCNNNNNNNNNNNNNNNNNNNNNNNNNNNNNNNNNNNNNNNNNNNNNNNNNNNNNNNNNNNNNNNNNNNNNNNNNNNNNNNNNNNNNNNNNNNNNNNNNNNNNNNNNNNNNNNNNNNNNNNGGAAUUUCUUGUAGCCCGCACCAGUCCACCCAAAGAAAUUGCAAGUUAUACAACUUACAAAUGGACUUCAGAUCAUCACCGACAAAUUCAUUAUGACUCAAGUUCAACCACCUCAAGUGAAUCAAUUUUUCUAUUUCUUUCGGAAUGCCUUUUCAAACCACAACUUCUUAAUUCGAGCAACCUCACACUUGCCAGGCAAUCACAAACAUGUGGAUCAAGAACUUCUUCGCACUGACACAAGCUACGAUAUUUUUCGACUCGGGAAACUAACAAAUGGCUACAGUCUUUGCAAGUUGUGUUCUUCAUUCUUGAUCCCACAUUCUUCCUCAGGAAUUCAGCGAAAUCAUGUACAAUGUCAUGCAUCAUAAACGAUUCUAUCCUUAUAUCGUCAUCUUUCAUAUAAAAGUCUUGAAACAGAGAACGCAUUGCUAACUUAUCAAAGUACCCUCUCCCUCUAACUUUCCAGUCAUCAUCAGCAUUCGAUCCUAGGUAACCCAUUGCCAUCCAUCUUGUUAUUAGCUCAUCCACAUUAAUUCUGGUAUCUUUAGGAAAGACGGCACAAUACGAGAAGCAACGCUUCAAUGUUGGGGACAACUCGUUGUAACUCAGAAACAAAUGGCGAAAGAGGUCAUCUUCUACUUCCUCCAACUCCCAUAUUUCACUAUUCAACACGCUCUCCCACUCUUCCAAUGUAUUCUUGAAACGUAAGAGACUUCCCAAAGUCUUUGCUGCAAGCGGCAAUCCAUUGCACUUCUUUGUUAUCUUCUUACCCGUGUUCUCAAAUUCUUCACAUUCAUCCUUGUUCUUACCACAAAGGGCAAUCCGACGUAACAAUGACCAACAAUCUUCAUCAUUGAGAACUCCUAAACGAUGGAUCAUCUGAUCAUUCUUUAUAAACUCUCCCAUCAUCAUUAUUGCAACCCUUUCGUUUCUAGUUGUCACCAAAACUUUGCUACCCGUUCCACCACUUUUGAGAGUGUUUUUCAGGGGUUUCCACUUGGUAUCGUCUUCUGUCCAAACAUCAUCCAUAACAAGAAGAAACUUUUUCCCUGAAAUAGACUCUUUUAGACGUUGCAGUAGCAUUUCCAAUUGGUUGGUCUUUGGGGGUUCAUCCAACUUUUCCACACUUGCCACAAUCCCUUUCGCAAUCUCAUNNNNNNNNNNNNNNNNNNNNNNNNNNNNNNNNNNNNNNNNNNNNNNNNNNNNNNNNNNNNNNNNNNNNNNNNNNNNNNNNNNNNNNNNNNNNNNNNNNNNNNNNNNNNNNNNNNNNNNNNNNNNNNNNNNNNNNNNNNNNNNNNNNNNNNNNNNNNNNNNNNNNNNNNNNNNNNNNNNNNNNNNNNNNNNNNNNNNNNNNNNNNNNNNNNNNNNNNNNNNNNNNNNNNNNNNNNNNNNNNNNNNNNNNNNNNNNNNNNNNNNNNNNNNNNNNNNNNNNNNNNNNNNNNNNNNNNNNNNNNNNNNNNNNNNNNNNNNNNNNNNNNNNNNNNNNNNNNNNNNNNNNNNNNNNNNNNNNNNNNNNNNNNNNNNNNNNNNNNNNNNNNNNNNNNNNNNNNNNNNNNNNNNNNNNNNNNNNNNNNNNNNNNNNCAAAGCGUACCGUGCACUUAUUAGGAGGAACAACAUCAGCAUGAUCAGACGACGAUUGUUCGAUCUGAAACUUGAGAAUGGAGUAGUUCCAUUCGUCCAACACGUCAUCCAUUUCAUAGGUCGUGUUUUCGAGCCACGUCAGCCAAUCUUUGAUGCUCUUUUCCUUAUAACCCUUCUUCUCCGCAUCUUCCAACACGUUUCUGACUGUGUUCAGAUCAACGGAAAGUUUGAGAACCUCCUUCUUAACUCCUCUCACCAAAUUUACUUCGUCUCGGAUCUUCUCUUCCACGAGAGCUGCAAUGCGCUCCAACACAACGGAAACGAUAGCAUCCGCCAUGAGUUUUUUUUUUUCCUUUUUUCUUUGUGAAUUAUAUGUGUGUAUAUUAUUCCUUUGUGAUGGUAUAUAGAAUGAACCAAUAAUUGAUAAGGUGGAGAAAAUAUGCAGAAAUAAAGAUGAACAAAGACACAAAAGUUUUGUGAUUGAUCAAUUUCCAUGCCCCCACUUUUACUUUUGUAAAUUGCACACAGCUAGCUGUGGGACAACAAUUAUUGCUCAAACUUUCAAUUUUUUUUUUGCGUUUUAUUUCUCACAUAUAUUUUCAGUUUUAAUUGCAUGUUAGCUUCAGACUUCAGUUUAAAUUAAUGUAUUUAAAGUUUUAAAUUUUCAAAGAUAUAUUUUUAUUAUGCAGGUAAACCUCUAUAAAUUAAUUAAUACAGUGGUGACUAGGAAAAUUUUAUUAAUUUAGCGAAUUAUUAAAUUAUCGAGUUAAUAAUUUAGCAUGUUCUGACCGAGUCGGGACCGAGAGAAACUAUUAUUUAAGUGAGGUUAUUAAUUUAUCGAGUAUUAAUUUAUCGAGGUUCUACUGUAUUAAAAUUAUUAUUUAGUAUACAAUUUAGGGUAAAUUACAAAAAAAAAAAAAAAAAAAAAAAAAAAAAAAAAAAAAACUGAACUUAGGGUAAAUAACGAAAAAUACCCCCACCUAUCCGAACCAAAAUCCCUUUAUGAUUAACUAUUGAUCGAGUUUUUUUUAACAAAAAAAAAAUGUGUACAAUCUAUUAUACUAUAUGUUAAUUAAUAGUUGAGAAAUAAAAUAAAAUAUCUGAAAUCGUGUAAAGUCUAUUCCCUGCCUGGAAUAAAAAAAAAAUCCGUGAAAAAUCACACUGUAAAAAGUUUGUGUAAAACAUAAACAAAUUUCAGGGGGUUUUUAAUAAUUACGAGUAGGUGAAGCGUUUUUUGUUAUUCAACCUAAGUUCAGGGGAGUUUUCAUAAUUUAUCUCGAAGGUAUUACAUAUAGAAGUAAUAAGAAUAAUUUGAGACUUCGUUUUAUUUCAUCAUAUUUUGUAACUGAAUAAAUAUAUUUUCCAGUUAAUAAUUAAAUGAAGAAUAAUUGGUUAGGUUGGAGAUACAUGCACCCACUUUUACUUUUGUAGUAAAACUUUACAGCAGUAGGUGGGACGAGACGAUUGCUCCCAGACCUACUAGUCAAACUUUAAAAGUUAAUGGGGUCACAAUUCUAAUUAUUAAUGUUUUUAAAAAAAGAUUUAAGGGUAAAUUACGGCCGCCCUCCUAACUUAUGGUAAUUACGAAAAUCCUCCUCAUGUUUUGGGUAAUUGUAGUAUCGAACCGUCUCAGGUUCGAGAAUCGCCGCAUUCUAUUCGUGAGGAAGAAUUUCUUGGACAAUACACGGCCGCGACCACUUUGAUUUGCGCUUCCUUGGAAAUAACCAAAGACGGGAUUUGCACAAUAAUACUAAUUGUCCUUUGUGCAAUUCCUUUUUGAUUUUCUCCUUACGACCACAAUAGCUUGACUCAUCCUUCUCUCGUGACUUGCUCGAGUCUUUGGGUGGUAACAUCUUCCUUGCAUUCUCAUCGUCGUUAAGACUCAAACUCGUAUGACUUUCUCUCGGAUGAGUUGAAAUUGAGUCCAUGAAGUAAACUUGCUCCUUCCGAUUUUCGUUUCCGCCAUCAUCUCCUGUACUCAAAGAUGCUUUCUCAUUGUCCAAGAUCGAAACAUCAAAUUUUUCAUUAUUUGUAAAAUCCAUAAGCUCAAUAUCAAAACAAUCAUUAUUAUCACAUGGAUUUUUAUUAACACUAAAAACAUUGAAUUUGAUUGUUUGAUCAUGCACAGUCAUUGUAAGAUCACCACUAGCACAAUCAAUGAGAGUUUUCGACGUGGCUAAAAACGGUCUCCCUACGAUAAGAGGUAUCUCCCUAUCCUCAUCUAUAUCUAGUAUCACGAAAUCAACAGGGAAGAUAAAUUUAUUGACUUUCACUAGCACAUUCUCUAAAAUACCUUUUGGGUAAACUAAAGAUCUAUCGGCUAAUUGAAGAGUUAUAGCCGUCGGUUCAAUUUCUCCUAACCCAAGAUUUUUAAAGGUUGAAUAAGGCAUAAGAUUAAUGCUAGCGCCUAAAUCAAUGAGCGAUCUAAAAUUUUUACCUCCUAUAGUACAAGGAAUAGUAAACUUACCUGGAUCGCCGAGUUUUUGUGGAAGAGGCCGAGUAAGAAUUGCACUAAUUUGCUCUGUGAGUUGGAUCAUCUCGUUCCCUUGCAAUUUCUUACUUUUUUUCACGAGGUCCUUGAGGAACUUCACCCACUUUGGCAUCUUUUGAAGUGCUUCAAUGAAAGGAAUAUUUAUGCGAAUUUCCUUCAACUUGUCCAAAAAUCUUUGAUAUUCAACAUCGAGCUUCUUCUUUACAAAUUUUUGAGGAUAAGGAAUUGGAGGGACUUGUGAAGGCACCGUUGAUGGUGGCUCUUCAUGAGUUGAUUCUUUUUCCUCAUUCACUUUCGGCUUCUCGAUUACCGUGGUUCUCUUCUCUUUUUGUGGGGCUUCCUCCAAUUUCUUGCCAUUCUUCAAGGUGACUGCUUGGCACGUCUCGACCUCGAUCUUUUUCGUUAGCAAUCUUUGUGGAUAUGGGAUUGGUUCGACCCAUUCGGCUACAGUGACUUGCGGCUUGAUUUGAAUUUCUUCCCUUUUUUCGCUCGUGACAUCGAUAGCUUGGCACGUCUCGAACUUUUGAUUUCGAGGAUCUUCCGUAUUCGAUGGCAAUGCUCCCGGCGGGCGGUUCUCUUGCUUCAAAGCAAAUUGAGCGAAUUGAUUUUCUAAAUUCUGCAGCGAAGCUUGGGUAGCAGUCAUGAAUUGGGCCAAUAUCUCCUCCGUGCUUGAUUUUUGGGCCGGUGUAUUGUUGCCUUGAUAGCUUUGUUGAGGAGGAGCUUGAUUUUGGAAUUUACCUUGAGGUCUUUGAUACCCUUGGCCUUGUUGAUUUCCUCCAUAUUGCCCUUGUGAUCUCCACCCUUGAUUUUGGAAUUGGCGAGGUGCAUUGUUGACGUAGUUGAGCGACUCCGCAUCUUGUUGGCAUUGGAGCGUGUAGUGAUUUCCACCGCAAAUUUCACAACAUGGAGACUCAACGGCUUGGACUUGUUGUGGUGGACUUGCUUUGAUGUGCUGCAGAAGGAGUUGAUUUUGUUGAGCAAUUUGGGUCACUUGAGCUUGAAGGGCCGUAAUUGCAUCUAACUCCAACACUCCGGGAACUUUCUUGGCUCCACUAACCGCCCUCUCGCUCGACUUGGCAAACCGAUUUUGUGCAAUUUGAUCCAACAUGAUGAAAGCAUCCGGUAUCGAUUGACUCAUAAAAUUUCCCCGGUUGAUGCAUCUAAGACCGUUCGUGCAUUCUCGUUAAUCCAUUGGUAGAAGAUGUGGAUUUGCCGCCAUUGUUCGACUCCGUGUGUUGGACACUGCCGCAAAAGAGUUUUAAAUCUCUCCCAUGCCUCGUAUAAUUGCUCGCCUUGCUCUUGGAAAAAAAUAUGAAUUUCUCGUCGGAUUCUCUCGUCCUUCUCGGGUGAGCUGUAAACUUUCAUGAAAAGGUUGAGGAGUUGAGACCACGACGAGAUAGAGUGGGGGGCUUGGGACAUCAACCACUGGCGAGCUCUUCCUUGUAAGGAGUGUUUGAAGAGGAUCAAUUGUAGCGCCUCUUGGGAAACGCCGUUUUGACGGUGAGAAUUACAGGUAUCUAGAAAAUUGACAAUGUGAAGAUGGGAUCUUCACCCGCCAACCCACUAAAUAGCCCGUUAUUUUGGAGCAUCGUCAAAAGGCCUUGCUUGAUCUCAAAAUUGUGCGCCUCAAUGGGUGGAUAUUGGAUGCUAGGGCGGAAUCCGUCAUGAGUCGGGAUUAUGUAAUCUUGAAGUGCCCGUGGCCUAACUGCUGGUUGUGCUGGAAGUUGAGGGGGUGGGUCUUGGACUUGGUUUCCGUUGGCCCCGAGUAAAUUACCCGCUGCCCUGCGUUCUUCGUCCUCCAUUAUAUUGUUUGUGCGUUGAAGUCUCCUAGCCGCUCGAAAAGUACGUUCGAUUUCGGGAUCAAACGGUUCUCUAGCAAGAUCGAGUCUUCUACGCAUACACAGUACCUAAAAAGAAAAAUAAAAUAAAACAAAAAUUAAAUGGGUGAAUCGUGAAAAUUGUUCAAAUCUAGAGCUAGAAUAAAAUAAAUAAUUAAAAUAAUCCCCCGCAACGGCGCCAAAAACUUGUUGGUCGAAAACCUACACGCAAGUGCACGUAUCGUACAAGUAAUAUAGUGGACAAUUAAGUCCGGAUAUCGAACCCACAAGGAAUAUUUAAUUAUCUAAUCAUAGACGCUAAAUUCUACCAAUUAUUAUCAAGCCCACCCUACACAGUCGAAUAAGGAUUAAUAAACUAAAUUAAAAACAAGCAAAAACAAGAAAACAAUUUAAAACGAAGAUUAAUCAAAGUAGACAAGCCUAGGAUUUUAUUCUUCCCCCUAUGUGAUUAUUACUCCCCCAAUUCCUUCAAUUAUGCAAGCAAUUAACCCGGAUUAUUAACCUGAGAUGCUAAAAUAAUCAUAACCCGCUUCCGCGUGUAUUACAAUUCUAAUACUCUAGAUUCAAUUACUAUAUUCAUAUGCAAUUAAUUCUAGAACACAGCAUUAAACACAAAUCUCAAUAAUGGCUACCUAAGAGAUUAACUAUAUUCCUAUGUUAAUACCACAAAGGCUCUUUUACCACAGUUCUAAUUAUUAACCCGAUCUUCCGAUUCAUUCGAUUAACAAUAACAUAAAAGCACAUAAAGUGGCCAGUUUCAUGAACUUAAUAAAACAAGAAGAAGAAAUAAUCCGGAAUUAAAACUUGCAUAAAAUCAUAGAAUUGGGUUCAUAAAUCCCACAUAGGGUUCCAAAUAAAAUCCUAGAAAUAAGUAGUUUAGCUACUCUUGAUUAAAUCAAAAACGCAAAUAAAAUAAAUCAUAGACGAUAAAUAUUUGCUUGGAGUCUUCGAAUUCUUCGUCUUUGUUAUUGCUUUGUGGCUCUUGAAAUUGCGUAAAAAGAUCCCCAAUUGUGUGCUUGGAUUGGUCUUAUAUAGGGUGAAGAACUUGGGGAAGAAGGCAGUUUCCUUGUGCAAUUAAAAUCCCUUUACUGCGCAACUUCGGGGUAUGGGACGGGGGUCCCAUAAUUUGCACUAAAACUGGGACGGGGGUCCGAGCCUUGUUUCUUCAGAAUUUUGAUAUUUUCACUUUUGACCCAUAUUUUCGCCAAAAUUGCAGUUUUGACCCAUACUUUUCCAAUUCUUCAAUUUGUACCUAAAAUACAAUAAAUCAACUUUUUAAGCACCAAUUAUCAUUAAAACACACCAAAAGCCCAAAUAAAAAGGUACGAUAAAGUGUAAAAAUAUACACUUAACAACAACUCCUAUAUUUUGGGGUGCAAACUGUAUUUAAUCCUUUUGUAAAUCAUAUCGGAUAUUGAUCUGGACAAAUACUGGAUCAUGGUCAAAAAUCUGGUUUUAUGAGUUAUAGUUUUACGGUGCAACCGGUCCAAAACUCAGAGUUUUCAGUAAAAUCCGAUUUUUUGUAAUUUACCGUUUUGUAGCUCACAAACAGGACCAGGCGGUCUGGGCUAGGCAAUAGUACAUUGUCCAACGGUUGAGUCGGGCCUGUCCGAUUCGAGUUUCAAAAACAUUGAAAUUUUGAUUUUUCAAAAAUUAGAAUACUAUAAGAUGAGAUUGGAUUAUGUUAAAUUAGAGAUUACAAGGCAUUUAGUGUCAUAUAUAACUAUUAAUGCUAGUUUUUAAUAAUCUAACUAACUAUAAUGUAAGGAAUUAGUAUUAUCCAAACUUAUUAAAAAUGUAUUUAUUUUAGAAAAUACGAGAAAACCCGACCCGAAUUUCAUUUUAUCCGAAGCCCAGCCCACCAAAACUCAAACCCNNNNNNNNNNNNNNNNNNNNNNNNNNNNNNNNNNNNNNNNNNNNNNNNNNNNNNNNNNNNNNNNNNNNNNNNNNNNNNNNNNNNNNNNNNNNNNNNNNNNCAAACCCAAACCCGUAUCCCACAUUCCUGCAAAAUUUCUCACCUCCACUCCAUCCAUCCAACUCGCCGUCCAUUUCCAUCGGAGAAGCCACCGCUAAUUUCUCCGGCGACCGGCGUGGCUCAACCAAUUUGUGGAGAAGCUAUACCGUAGUGACUGUAUACCCAAUAGCAACAACGCCGAUGAUUCCACCCGCGGCGGCGAACCCGGCGUUAGAUGGCGGUGCGCCUCCGCCACCACAGAUGGUGGCUCCACCUCCUCCGGGUACAGACAUGACCGGAAUCUGCUUCCGCGAUCAGCUGUGGCUCAACACUUACCCACUUGACCGAAACCUAGUUUUUGAUUACUUCGCUCUCUCCCCAUUCUACGAUUACUCGUGCAAUAACGAGCAGCUUCGUCUCCGCGCAACUCACCCCCUCGAUCUCUCCCACCUCUCGUAAGUGCCGCUUUUUGUUCGACCUAAUUUGAUCGUUAAUUUUCAAUUUGGGUAUAAUUAUCCGAUAGUUAAUUUUGAUUUUUUAAGGUUCAAUUUGGAGUGUAUGUGUACACAUAAACACAGUGAAAUUGGAUUUAUUAAUGAAGUAGUCUAAAUUGAAUUUGUAAAAAAAUUGAAGCUUGAUGUUAUUCAAUGGGUAUAUUUUCUGCAUGAAGGAAGAUGACCGGAAUAGAGUACUCGUUGAGUGAAGUGUUGGAGCCGCAUUUGUUCGUAUUCAGAAAGCAAAAACGGGAUGGCCCCGAGAAAGUGACACCUAUGCUAACUUACUACGUCUUGGAUGGAUCAAUAUACCAAGCCCCCCAGCUUUGCAACGUAUUUGCGUCUCGAGUUGUUAGUAUCCCCUUCACCUACCGUUGUUCGUUUUUUUUUUUUUUAAUUUAAACUGUGUGAUGACAUUAAGCACGUAUUUCGUAGUUUUCGGAUUAUUUGGUUGAAAUUUUGCAUCUACAGAUACAGUUGCUGCAAGAUGAUAUUUUGUUUGGUGUAUUCGUUAUUGUAGUUCCUUCCGGGUUUUUUAUCCCUUAAGCGCUGUAUGGACUUCAAAUUGUGUGAUUCGUGUAUGUGUAUAUAUAUUAUUGUCUGAAACGAGUCUAACUAGUAACUACUUCAGCUGGUCUGUAUGUAUUCGGUGUUGCUAAUGCUUCUUUUUGGCCUAUCGUAAAGUUCGUUGAAGUUCCUAGAUGGUGGUUUUUCCCGAUUCUCAUGUUUGUGAUAAUCGAAAUGAGAUAAACGAUAAGUGAUAACUGUGAGUGUAUAUUCAAUAAGGUAGCAUUGUUUUAUCUGACAAGUAUUUAUGGUGAUGAUUCAUGCUUUCCGUUUCUGCUCCAGAUAAUUGAAUAUCCUUAUUUUCUCCGAUCUUUUGUUCGUUUUCUGAUUAGAUGGAAGUUCGUCAUAAGAUUAUCAGUAAUAAGUGUAUUUACACCUUAUAUAUCGUCAAAACUCAGGUGUUCUAAUGUAACGCUUUAUCCUCUUUUGACAGGGACGCGCGUUGUACCAUAUAUCCAAGGCUUUUAAUACUGCAGCUUCAAAGUUGGAGAAAAUCGGAUAUGGUAUAUUCCAAUUUUAGUAAAUUAUUUACCUUUUUUCUCCUUUGACCUAAGUGAUGUGCGCAGUGCGCCUACACGAGUACGUACGAUUAAUUAAGAAAAUGAGUUGGUGCUUGAUAUACGAUUGCAUAACAAUCUACUUGUGCUAUAUUAUCUUGCAGCACAUCUAACUAAUCGAAGCUCAAGCUUCCAUAAAUUUUUUAGCUUGUAAUUUCUCGUGUUCUUCUGGCACAGUUUGACGCCGAAAACGAGAGUACAUCCUCUGAACCAAAAGCUGCUAAAGAGACCAUCGAACUUUAAAGAAUUAAACGUGUAGACCAUAUUCUUGCUUCUCUGCACGCAAGGUAAGAACAAAUCCUCUUUCUUCACCGAAUGUAAUCGGUUAUUUGUUACGUAAAUUAGACCCAUCUCGUUUUUCNNNNNNNNNNNNNNNNNNNNNNNNNNNNNNNNNNNNNNNNNNNNNNNNNNNNNNNNNNNNNNNNNNNNNNNNNNNNNNNNNNNNNNNNNNNNNNNNNNNNCCACACAAUAAAAACAAUAAAUAAAUAAAUAAAAAUCCGCCGCUGCAUGAGUAGGUUUUUCUCCCUCCUUUUUUUUUUUUUACGUUAACCAUUUUAGUUGAAUUUAAUAGUAUUUUUAAUAAUAAUAAUAAAAUAAAAAAUAAAGAUGUAAAAGAAAGAGUGAAAGAUUUUCAGGGAAGGACUUGUUUGCUCCGAAUUCACAGGGAAGGACUCUCCGGCAAUUAUAAAUAAUGCCCUUUCUUUAACCUUUUUCUCACAAUGCAAUUAAUUGUCUUGCAUUCUUUUCCUCUCUUCAAUUCCUCAUAUUUUUAUUAAUCUUGAUUAUUAAUUCAGGAUGACUAUUCUCAUUCAUCAGCCUGACUUUGGUAAUUUUCUUUCUUUUUUUUUUUUUUUAAUUAUUUUUUCCUCAUAAGUAAUUCUUGAUCCUCUCUCUCUCUAUAUGUAUAUAUAUACUUUUUUAAUUAAAUUAAGCAAAAUAAUUGCAGUUUGAUUUUAAUGAUUAUUUCUCUUCAGUCUUCAGAUCCAUGGUUUCUUUGAUUAUUUUCUCUAUAUUUGAAGUUUAUUAUCCCUUUUUUCAAUUGUUAUUUUUUUCUGAAUAUUGGUACUUUUGCGAAAUUUAUUUAUUUAAAAUUAUUUAGAAUUUCUGUUUAAUUUAUUAUUGUGCCUGGAAAAAAAAACAGGAAUUGAAGUGGAGGAAAAGAAGGUUCCAAACUCAGAAAAGGAUUUGGUUUUGGAUGGAGGAUUUGUUUUGCCACAUGCCAAUUCUUUUGGCCAUAACUUUAGGUCUUUUUUUUCUCCUUCAAUAAUCAUUUAAUUAUGCACCUAAAACUUGAUUAAAUAAUAUUUAAUUGAAACUAAAUAAAUUCUUUGCUUCAAGAAUCUAAUUUAUGAUGAUUGAUUAUGGACUCAUCUAUGCCAUAAAUAUAACAUGGUUUCACUUUGAAUAAUUGAGGGAAAAUU
rnacentral:lncRNA from 1 species